UGAAAAUGCACAAUAGCUGCCCACCAAAAUAUUUCCAGCAAUUGUCUGUCUAAAAACUUCUACUCCAAGAACAUCUGCAAUCAUCUCCUCAGUUUCCUAUGAGAAGACACAGCACACCAAAAUUACCAGCUUAAUCAAUGAUUAAAAUAAGCUCAUUUUGAUUUAGACAGUAUAUCAUGCUCUACCCUUCCUGAAAAAAGUUAUAACCAGACAGAGAAAAGCUGAAUAAUUAGCAUAAAAUUAAUAAGGUAGAUUCCAAGUGAAAUAUCAAAUUGCCAUUGAAGAAGCAAAAUUUGAAACAAGUGCAGAAAGCAUCCAGCUGAAUAUCACCACAACCUAUUUGAGGCUUUUACCAAGAGGGAAAUGCAUGCAUACAACAAGAACUGCUGUCAGCAUUGAGAAGCAUGCAUAGACUUCAGAUUUGUCACAUGACAGGCAUAGGAUGUACAGGCAUAUAGAUAAACAUAGGGAGGAAGAGUCUAGAUGACACAUGCAAGUGUUUCAAUCAGGUCAAUUGCAUUCCCAGACAAUAUAAGAAUUGGAAAAGCACUGCUUUAUUAGGUAUAGCAAAAUUGCCACUAACUUUUUCACAUAAGAUAUAUGGUAUCCAAAUCAUUAAGCAUGUUAUUAUCAAGGGAAAGGACAAUAUUACCCUGUCGAGAUCGGUGUGUGUAAGUGCAACAUGAUCGUUGCAGGCAAUGCAGUUUCCCAAUGCAGAAAGUCUCUCAUCAAUGCGCUGAACAACAACUGAAUCUGGUAGACUAUUCCUCAAAUGCUGAAGUUCUUUAUCACAUAUAAUGUAAAUCAAAGUCAGAACCUUGAAAGUCCAUAACACAUCCACAAGCAAAGGUAGAUAAUUCUCAUAUGCACCACAACUUUUUUACGAACAAAUAGUGAUCUUAUGAUGACAUGUAAUACGUCAUCAAUUAAAUCCAACAAAAACAUGGUCAACCAACCCAAGAAGAAGACAAAUGAAAAAGGAAAAGAACAAAGAUUAUACAUUGCACAGUGUAGCUGAAUAUCAAUACUUGAAAGGAAAAUUAUUUGCUUAAAAAUUUUAAAGCUGUGAAUCAAAAGAUACACAAUAACUGUACUAGCAACAAGUUCAUGAAGUUGUUACCUUGAUCGGUGGUAGUAUGCGGUAAGAGAAGCCCAUUCUUGUUUCCUAAAUGAAAAAAGGGGGAAAGUUAUCCUAUCUAAACAGUCAUUCCAAUGGUACUCAUGUCUCUACAAGCAAAAUAACUCUAAGAGCCUUCUAAAGUCCUCACCAGCACAAAGUCUUCCAAUGAUCCUAGUGCCACCAAUCGCGGUCUUCACUACCGGAAUUACAUCAGCCAAUUCUGCCUCAAACGUACUACAAUACACAAUAUAUAGGUUACACACAAGAAAAAAGAUUUGCUGAAGAAAAAGGGAAAAUAAAUUUUAUCAUGUUAGUAGAGUAGCUUGAAGCGAACCUGUAGAAGUUCUCAGAACCUCCAAUGGCGACCAAGCAAUAAGCAUUGGUCAACUUAGAAAAAACUCCAACUUCGCAUGAAUUCUCAAAUUGCAAUCCUAAAAUUAAAAGCAACGAUAAUAAUUAUGAUAUUAAAGGAACAAUUUUCACGCCAUAAAUCAGCUAAAAUCAAUUCUUUUUUUUAACUCAAUGACUUAUUUGAACUGGAAUACUCACUGGUAGCCAUGAUUCCAAGGAUAUCAAACAAAUAUAAACACCUACUCGAUAUUAGAUCUGAAAAGGGAAAAAAUCCAAGAAGAAAGGAUUGAACAUGGAAAGAAAGAAUAAAAAGCAGGAACAAAUAAGAAUAAUAAUGAAAUCAAUUACGGAAUUCUUACAAUCAAGAAAUCGAGGUUCUAUUGAAAAUUCGUAGAUUACCUAAAAGGGAUUUGCUGGGAGAAUGAUUUGAACGUUCAGCAGACGCUAAUCAACGAGAACAGAAACCCUGAUUAGUGUUUUAGGGUUAGGGCUUAUAACCAAGUCAAAAUAAAGAAUCCAAACGGUGAGAGGCUGAGAGCUGUUUUGUUUUCCUGGCUUUCCCCCUCUCUUUUAUUUAUUAUUUUUUUUUGGCGAUAAUUUGCGGAGGUUGUUUGGAGCCAGACGCUGAAAGGGCCUUAUAUGAAGGCCCCUUGUAUGUCGCUGUUGAGGAUUCAACUUCUCGACCAGUUUGGGCCAGAUUUAUUUAUUCCCCUUUCGGCCCACGCGGAAACUUCACCCUUGUAUCCCAAGAAAAAAAAAAAAUUUCUCAUCUUUGAAAUCAACAUUGACAGUCAACAUAUUAGACAUCUCACGUCAUUUCUUGUGAAGAACGUUGAAAGCUUGAUGAUCAAGAAAAGUUGGAUGUGAGCAGGCACAUAUUUGUAGUAUUGGUUUGUUGCAUAUAAUUUCACAUGGGUUUUGAAAUCUACCCUGAUGGAGUUAUUUUCUAACUACUUUGUUUUUGUACUUUGUAUUUAAAGAAUCAUACAAAUACAGCCAAAAAAUAGAUUGUCCAUUAGCAUAAUUCAAAACUCAUUUUGUAUAAUUUAUGCCUUCAGCUUCUUCAAAAUCAUGCUAAUUGCCAGUCAUUCUUUGCGACAAAUUCAGAACAUGUAAUUAGGUAAACUCAGCGUAUUUAACCAAAUGCUAUCUCUUCCUUUAAAAUUGUCUUACCAAAUAUGCCAGGUUAAGUCUGAGUCUCAAAAGAUUCAGGCACUAUUUGGAUUGAGGGAAUGGGAGAGGAAUCGAAGAAAUUUGGUUUUUGUUGUUUGGAUUGACUUUUAAGUAGGGAAAGGGUCUAAUAAUUUUGUCGAAAUAUGGUUUUCACUCAAAAAUGGGCGGAAACGAGGGAAAUGAAAAUAAAUUAAUUUCAAUAAUUUUAAAUUUUUUUAAAAAAGAUCAAUUUUGUCUAUAUUUUCUGGUAAUUAAAUACUUGGUCUUUUACUUUCCUUUCUCUUCCUCUUCAAUCCAAACAAAAAAUUAGUAUUUUCUUUCAUUUCCUUCCAUACUUAAUCCAAACAAAAUAGAUGGACAUCACUUUUCUCUACUCUCCUUUCUUUUCUUUUCCAUUAGUAUCCUUUUCUUUCCCUUCCUUUCCGUCAAUCCAAACGGUGCCUUAGAAAUUAUGGGAUUAAUCGAAUUCAGCCUUGGGCAUGCAAGCAAAAAAUACAUCUCCGAGUUGUAUUCAUGUAGCCAAGUAUACAACCUUUGGCCUUCGAUUGACCAAUCCAAGUCCAGCCUUUUAUCCUUGAAGACCAAAAACAAAUAGGAAAAAUUUUUAAAGGAAUAGGAAAUCCUCCGUGCUCCAGUGCAAUAUUCUUAUGAGAAUUGAAAAUGAGAGAGAGCUUGUAUUCUAUAUGCGCAUUAUGUCGACAUGAUCAUGAAUGUUAUUGUUGCAGUAUCGUUGCUCAGCAUCCUGAGAAUGAUGAAAAUCUCACAAAACCCAAUAUUUACAACAAAAGAAUAGCCACAGAACUUUUUUUUAAAAAAAAAAUUUAAACAAAAACAAUGAAAACAUAGAACAGGCCAGACUGAUGAUCGAUCAAAAUCACCCAUUACUACAUAAAAUUCGAGAAUUUAAAAUCGUUCUGAUGCCCGUAUCUGCAAGUGAAAGAUUGGCUUCGAAAGUAUUCCACCUCCUCUUGUUGCCACUUUCCAUCAUCAAAGUUCUUAGAGCAGCUAAAGCUAUCAUAUAUAAUUCAACAGCUCGUGUCUUUCGCUUUCCUUUGCACACGAUGACUUCUUUAGAACUACCUACUCCUUCAGCUGUGGUGGCCUGGAUUAGCCUCUCCAAUAGAUGUUUUAUUGUACUCAGCCUUCCAUUGGCUCCAAAGAAGUUACUGCCAUGAACCAUCUUUCUGGUUCAUGCUAACUUGUUCAAGUGAUUUCUUUUCCAUCGCAAACAGAAUUGUUUCACCAAAAGUUACUUAUACCAUGGUCCUGGAGGCAGUGAAAUAAAAGAAGAUUCCACAUGUUUUUCCCUUAUCACAAUGCAUUAGUGAUUAGCCACCCACCCAGGACUAUUCAUCUCCCUAACCUGGAGUAAAUAGCUUUUUGUAAAAAAGAUGAACCCUAGAAAUCUUCACCAACCACUACUUUCCAUAAUGCCAAAUCCAUAUCUCCAUCCCAACCAUUUUAUAUUUCAUCUGCAUUACUAUUAACAUCAAGGGGUUCAUUCAUACAACAGUUCCCAGAGUUAAGACUUAGGAAUUGAGACAAAUUUAGUACAGCACAAAAUCACAAAUUCACCUCUAGAUAUUCAUAGCAUCUAGCUUCAUUUUAAAGCAACAACUCGGCAGAAUGCACAGAAAUAAGCUUAAAAUGCGAGCAAAAAAGUUAAGGUGGUGCUUAUGUUAUAAGAAAGGUACAUGCCAAAAGCUACAGUGGCGGCGGAGACGGAGUCGCGUAAUAGGCGGAUGGGGACGGUGGUGGAGAGCUUGAAUGCGCUCGCGGGAUCAUCUGAGCUCAUAAUCAAAGCCGCACCGGCUCCGCCUCCCGCGGCUGUGGCCGCCAUCAACAGUUUCGCUCUGGUGCGCCACACCGAUCUCACCGCCAUUUAUUGGCCUUCCUUUUUAAUUUUUUUCCCCUUGUCCCCGCCUUUUGAUUGGCUUCGGGUUUUUAUUUAGAACUCCAAGAAAACGGGGUGGACAGAGGCGAAACUUCCUCUAUUAUCCACAUAUCUUCUGACAGCAGCUGAAGCGGAUAUGAAGACUGUUGACACGCUCUGGGUUUUAGUUUCGGGUGGCUGACUCGUUUGUAACUUGCAUUUCAUUGUUUUCAUAUUUAAAUAUGCAGUUUUACCUUGUUCCACACCUAAAUCUGGAGAUAGAUAUCAACUGUUACGAUUGAUCAAUCUCCAGCUUUUUUAUGAGUUCUUCUAUCACUCUAUUGUUUCAUGAUUUUCCUCGCGCAUGCACUGUUGUGUAUGCACCUAUUAGGCUAUUACCUUGCAUGGUUAGUGCUGUAGAACAGAACAGAAUGGCUAUGUAGGUCAUAGAAGGUACCACACACCAUUAUUGUUUGUGGAGGAUUAUCGUGCACAUGAAUUACAGGAUAGAAAUAUGGGUUAUCUGCACAUGAAUUGCAGGCAGGACUGAAAUAGGAAAGAACACAGCCUUCGCCAGGUUACUUCACAGACCUCUGCAUUUGAUAAAGAGAGAAUAUGGGACAUUUGUAGAUCUUGAAAUCCCCAAGCCUUGUGUGGACGUGUUUAAGUUAUAAUGCCUUUGUCCCGAAUGAGCCACAAGCGGACAUCGUGUUAUAGAAUGACUUGUGUCGAAGAACUGCAAAUUUUCAAGCAUUAACCAAAAUUUUUUUUUUCUUUUCAACUCCUCCCACUCAUUGAUCCAGCUAAGAAUCCAAUCAUGGAUAAGUCGAUCCAAAGCUCUCUCCCGUGUUCCCUUCUCUUUUUUUUUUCCCUUUUUUCUAAUCCAUUUUAAGUUUGUCAAAAUUAGACUGCUAUGCUUUGUUAAGAACAUCAACCACCAGCAGCAGAUCAUUCCUUCCUAGCGCCAUUUCCAGAAACAUAGAAAAGGAACACCCACUGGUUGGACUUAUAUUGCAUUAGGGAGCAAUCAGCCACAGGUAAUUCAAUUAACCAAGAGAAGCAACUUUCCCUGUAGAUGGCAAAAGCUCAUACUUAAGUAGAAGCGGAAGCCCGAGAAGGCCCAAGGCAGACAACAUGUCAGUCAACAAUUAAACGUACAAACCCAGAAUGCUUAAACAAUAAAGAAAACACACACACACACAAACAUGAUGAUUCACCAAGAGGAACAGAGUGGCCAUCACUCAGGACAAGUAAACAAUUUCAAAAUACAGAAUUCCUUUUGCUUAAAAUUGUAGUUGACUCACGAAUACAGUAAUUUACCAGGGGAGACAGCAUAAUCAUUAAAAAAAAAAAAGGAAAAAGAAGAGAGAAAGAAAAAACAUACAAUGUAAGUAAGAACAGGAGCUAUAAUUCCUGUAUAAGAGACACUCAUUGAUACACUCAACUUGGGCAUGCAGCUCAUACAUAGCUGUCAAUCAAUGACUUCCUCAUCUCAUCAACAAUGGCACUAGGUUGAGCUUCUCUUAACUUGAAAACGCUCUCUAUAACAGACAAUUCUGUUGCGGUAGUGUCAGAUCCACAAAAGGCUGUCCAGUCAUUAACUGUCAGGCAAGCAGCGAUUACUUCACUACCACGAUUCGCUGUCCCUGCCACCAGUGGAACCUGUAGGAGCGUAGAGAGUUCAUCUAGGUCCUCUAUGGACGUAUGAGGAUGCACCUGAGCAACAACAGAUUUCAGUGAGAAACAGACACGUGCUCUUAACUCUAACUUCAUAUUUCAUUAGCAUAAAUCACAGAAUGGAGGAGUUUUAUAUUCGUUCUAAUGUUCACUAAGUUCAAGGUGCACUGCUUACCAGGCCACCCCUAUUUGAAAAUGCACAGUAGCUGCCCACCAAAAUAUUUCCAGCAAUUGUCUGUCUAAAAACUUCUACUCCGAGAACAUCUGCAAUCAUCUCCUCAGUUUCCUAUGAGAAGACACAGCACACCAAAAUUACCAGCUUAAUCAAUGAUUAAAAUAAGCUCAUUUUGAUUUAUAAUGAUUAAAAUAAGCUCAUUUUGAUUUAUACGGUAUAUCAUGCCUUACCCUUCCUGAAAAAAGUUAUAACCAGACAAAGAAAAGCUGAAUAAUUAGCAUAACAUUAAUAAGGUAGCUUCCAAGUGAAAUAUCAAAUUGCCAUUGAAGAAGCAAAAUUUGAAACAAGUGCAGAAAGAAUCCAGUUGAAUAUCACCGCAACCUAUUUGAGGCUUUUACCAAGAGGGAAAUGCAUGCAUAUGACAAGAACUGCAGUCAGCAUUGAGAAGCUUCCAUAGACUUCAGAUUUGUCACAUGACAGGCACAGGAUGUGCACGGAUAUAGAUAGACAUAGGGAGGAAGAGUCUAGAUGACACAUGCAAGCGUUUCAAUCAGGUCAAUUGCAUUCCCAGACGGUAUAAGAAUAGGAAAAGCACUGCUUUAUUAGGUAGAGCAAAAUUGCCACUAACUUUUUCACGUAAAAUAUAUGGUAUCCAUAUCAUUAAGCAUGUUAUUAUCAAGGGAAAGGACAAUCUUACCCUGUCGAGAUCGGUGUGUGUAAGUGCAACAUGAUCAUUGCAGGCAAUGCAGUUUCCCAAUGCAGAAAGUCUCUCCUCAAUGCGCUGAACAACAACGGAAUCUGGUAGACUAUUCCUCAAAUGCUGAAGUUCUUUAUCACACAUAAUGUAAAUCAAAGUCAGAACCUUGAAAGUCCAUAACACAUCCACAAGCAAAGGUAGAUAAUUCUCAUACGCACCACAACUCUUUUACGAACAAAUAGUGAUCUUAUGAUGACAUCUAAUACAUCAUCAAUUAAAUCCAACAAAAACAUGGUCAACCAACCCAAGAAGAAGACAAAUGAAAAAGGAAAAGAACAAAGAUUAUACAUUGCACUGUGUAGCUGAAUCUCAAUACUUGAAAGGAAAAUUUCUUGCUUAAAAUUUUAAAGUUAAGAAUCAAAAGAUACACAAUAACUGUACUAGCAACAAUUUCAUAAAGUUGUUACCUUGAUCGGUGGUAGUAUGCGGUAAGAGAAGCCCAUUCUUGUUUCCUAAAUGAAAAAAGGGGGAAAGAAAAGGUUAGGUUAUCCUACCUAAACAGUCAUUCCAAUGGUACUCGUGUCUCUACAAGCAAAAUAACUCUAAGAGCCUUCUAAAGUUCUCACCAGCACAAAGUCUUCCAAUGAUCCUAGUGCCACCAAUUGCGGUCUUCACUACCGGAAUUACAUCAGCCAAUUCUGCCUCAAACGUACUACAAUACACAGUAUAAAGGUUACACACAAGAAAAAAGAUUUGCUGAAGAAAAAGGGAAGAUAAAUUUUAUCAUGUUAGUAGCUUGAAGAGAACCUGUAGAAGUUCUCAGAACCUCCAAUGGCGACCAAGCAAUAAGCAUUGGUCAGCUUAGAAAAAACUCCAACUUCACAUGAAUUCUCAAAUUGCAAUCCUAAAAUUAAAAGCAACGAUAAUAAUUAUGAUAAUAAAGGAACAAUUUUCACGCCAUAAAUCAGCUAAAAUCAAUUCUUUUUUUUAACUCAAUGACUUAUUUGAACUGGAAUACUCACUGGUAGCCAUGAUUCCAAGGAUAGCAAACAAAUAUAAACACCUACUCGAUAUUAGAUCUGAAAAGGGAAAAAAUCCAAGAAGAAAGGAUUGAACAUGGAAAGAAAGAAUAAAAAGCAGGAACAAAUAAGAAUAAUAAUGAAAUCAAUUACGGAAUUCUUACAAUCAAGAAAUCGAGGUUCUAUUGAAAAUUCGUAGAUUACCUAAAAGGGAUUUGCUGGGAGAAUGAUUUGCACGUUGGGCAGACGCUAAUCAAGAACAGAAACCCUGAUUAGGGUUUUAGGGUUAGGGUUUAGGGUUAAUUUCUCAUACCUCCCCUGAGAUUUUUAAUAAUUGCAAAAAGCUCCCCUCAAAUUUUAAAAAUUACACUUACCUCCCCUAUUUUCAUUAUUUAAGUAACAUUCUAGACCCAAAAGGUAUACUUUUUUCCAAAAUUUCUAUAAUACCCUUGAAUUAUAAUUCAUAACAAAAAUGUAAAGGAAAAAAAUGGUUAACAGUCUCUAUUUCAUUUAUCUUUAUUUCCUACCACUAUUACCUACUUAUUAACAUCUAAAUUACAAUUAAAUAAAUACUUAUCUUUGUUCUAAUGUUUCUCUUUUACCUAAAAAUUUUCGAUACAAAUCAUUAUAUCAACUAUAAACGCUAUAUCAUAUACCCAAAAACUUACCCACAAUUUCAUAACAAUAUCAGAUUUUACUUAAUAUACUAUAAUAUUCAUCAAUAUUCCUAAAUUUCAAUCCAUGACUGUCACUUUUUUAAUACAAAAUAAUCUAAACCAUCAUUACUAAUAUCAAUAUCCAAUAUAUUCCAUUGGCACAGAAUUCAAAAUCAAUCAAAUUUUCUCUAUAGGAAUAAUAUCAAUAAUUGUAUAUCAAGAAUAGAAACACAAUGCAGUUAUAAAUACAUAUAUCAAGAACACUUUUUUCUUGAUAACCAUAAUAGUAUAACUUAUAUUUAGUUCUUAUUCCACUUCUUAUCCUUAAUUUUUAUUUUUUAUCACUAUCACUAUCUUCAUCUCCAUCUAUUUUGAUAAUAAAAUUAGCACUCAAUUUGUCAUUUGACAAUUUCAAUUUGCUAAUACCUAUAAAAAAUUGGAAACAAAAAUGGGCGCAAGGAAACUAUUUAUUAAUAAUGAAAAAUCGAGAAUUGAGAAUAGAUACUAAAAUAUAUAAGUAUUGGUGAUUUAGUGUGUAUAGUGAUUUUAUUAGUAGCGACAGUACACAUUUGGUUGAUAAUAAUAGAUAAAUGAAUUUGAAAGAAAAAUAGAUAUAUGAAAAAGAGAAUAGAUAGUUAAAUAGAAAAAAUUGUGAUUUGAAUUAUUGGUUAAUAAUCGAUGAGAGAGUUUUAUUAUUUGAUAGAGUUUUUCAUUUUUCAAUGAGUUAACAAUUAAUAAAUAACAUUAUUGUCUUUUUAUCAUAACAAGGGAGAUCUCUAUAAUUAUGUAAACCUCAAGGGAGUCGAGUGAAAUUGUCGAAAAUCUCAGGGAAGUUUCUAAAAUUGUUCCUAGGGUUUAUAAGCAAUAUCAAAGUAAAGAAUCCAAAUAGUGAGGGCUUUGUGGUUUUCCUGGCUUUCCCCUCACUCUUUUAUUUAUUUAUUUAUUUUUUUUGGAGAUAAUUUGCAGGGGAUAUUUUGAGUCAGACGCUGAAAGGGCCUUAUAUGAAGGCCUCUUUUAUGUCACUGCUAAGGAAUCAACUUCUCGGCCAAUUUGGGCCAGAUUUAUUUAUUCCCCUUUCGGCCCACGUGGAAACUUCAACCUUGUAUCCCAAGAAAAAAAAAUUUCUUUUCUCAUCUUUGAAAUCAAAACAUUCAUUUGAACGUUGAUUAGAUGCUAAUCAACGAGAACAGGAAACUCUGAUUAGGGUUUUAAGGUUAGGGCUUAUAACCAAAAGUUAGGCCUGUCAAUCAGGCCUAAUAAGCCGGACUUUCAUAAGUUCAAAUUCAAUUCAUUAAUUUGAAACAUUUUUGGGUUUUGGAUUAUGAGUUACGGGUUCAUAAAUAUGAAUCUCAUAUUCAGCGCACAUAAUAUUCGGAUUGUGAACCUUAAUCGGGUUUAGCCCAAACUCACUUAUUACUUCUUAAUUUUCUUAAUAUAAUUACUAUAACUAUCAAGUUGUAAAACUAAUUUAACAUUUACAAGACUAUAAUAUUAAAACUAAAUAUGAACAAAUAAUAGUUCUUAAAAAGUAUAUAAACCAAAAAGUUUUCAACAAUAUUUAUAUUUAAUUAGUUCAAAAUGCAUGAAAAAUAGUAAUUAAAGAUGCGAUCAUAAGCCAAUACAUCUUUAAAAGUUAAAACUUUUUUGUUUAUAAUCUUGUGAUUUGAAUCUAAACAUGUUUGAUGAUUUGUGUUUGUAGAUCAAAAAAAAAUCAACCAAUAUUAUACCAACACAAAAAUUUACUCAACCAAUAAGAAAAGUUAGAAAUUCAGUUAUGCAUUACUAAUAUUGACUCCCAAAAAAUCUCAUGGAAGAGUCUUUAUAUGUAUUUUUAUAUUUUGUAAUUUAUAUAUAUUUAGUAUUUAGUAAUAAUAUAUUUGGAUAUAUAAUUAUACAUAAUAUCAAAAUAUAAAUAUUAUAUAUAUAUAGGUAUUUAAAGGGUCGAGCUUAUAUCGGGUUCGAGUCAAUAAGGUUCAAACUUGGCUCAUAUUUAAUUUGAAUCUAAUUUUUAGGAUGAAUUUCAGACCAACUCACUAAAAGGUCGGGUUUAUCGAGCUUUUUGUCUGACCUAACGAGCCAAGUUUGUCAGCCCCAUUGACAGUCCUACCAAAAGUCAAAUUAAAGAAUCCAAAUGGUAAGAGCUUUUUUGUUUUCCUGGCUUUCCCUUCUCUCUUUUAUUUGUUAUUUAUUAUUAUUAUUUUUUGGCAAUAAUUUGCAGGGGAUGUUUUGAGCCAGACGCUGAAAAAGGCCUUAUAUGAAGGCCCUUGUAUGUCUGUUAAGGAUUCAAAUUCUCGGCCAGUUAGGGCCAGAUUUAUUUGUUCCCCUUUCGACCCACGUGGAAACUUCAACCUUGUAUCCCAAGAAAUUUUUUUUUUCUUUUCUCAUAUUUGAAAUCAAUAUUUACAGUCAACAUAUUAAACAUCUCACAUCAUUUCUUGUGAAGAACAUUGAAAACUUGAUGAUCAAGAAAAGUUGGAUGUGAUCAGACACAUAUUCGUAGUAUUGGUUUAUUGCUUAUAAUUUCACAUGGGUUUUGAAAUCUACCCUGAUGGAGUUAUUUUCCAACUGCUUUCUUUUUGUACUUUGUCUUUAAAAGAAUCAUACAAAUACAACCAAUAAAUAGAUCGCCCAUUAGCAUAAUUCAAAACUCAGUUUGUAUAUUUUAUGCCUUCAACUUCUUCAAAAUUAUGUUAGUUGCAAGUCAUUCUUUACGACAAAUUCAGAACAUGUAAUUAGGUAAACUCGGCAUGUUUAACCAAAUCCUAUCUCUUCCUUAAAAUUGUCUAACCAAACAUGCCAAGUCAAAUGUGAGUCUUAAAAGAUUUAGGCACCAUUUGGAUUGAGGGAAUGGGAAAGGAAUCCAAGAGAUUUGUUUUUUAUUGUUUGGAUUGACUUUUAAGGAGGGAAAGGAUCUAAUCAUUUUGUCAAAUUUAUGGUUUUCACCCAGAAAUGGGUGGAAACAAGGAAAACGAAAACAAAUUAAUUUCAAUAUUUUAAUUUUUUUUUAAAAGAUCAUUUUUUGUCUAUCUUUUCUGGUAAUUAAAUACUUGGUCUUGUGAUUUCCUUUCUCUUCCUCUUCAAUCCAAACAAAAAAUUAGUAUUUCCUUUCAUUUCCUUCCAUACUUAAUCCCAACAACAAGAUCGAUGGAGUCCAGCCUUUUAUCCUUGAAGACCAAAAACAAAUAGGAAAAAAUUUUAGAGGUCUAGGAAUUCAUACGUGCUCCACUGCAAUAUUCUUAUGAGAAUUGAAAAUGAGAGAGAGCUUGUAUUCUAUAUAAAAAAAAAUAUAAACAAAAACAAUGAAAACAUAGAACAUGCCAGACUAGUGAUCGACCAAAAUCACCUGUUACUACAUAAAAUUCAAGAAUUUAAAAAUGUUCUGCUGCCCAUAUCUACAAAUGAAAGAUCGGCUUCGAAAGUAUUCCACCUCCUCUUGUUGCCACUUUCCAUGUUAUGGUACAGAAGCCAGAGUGCAGAAAAUGUAAAAGAAAACAAACUUGAUUGUAAUGAUUCGAUGAAUAAUCAAUGAAACAGUGAUUGUAAUGAGCUCAACUUUCAUUAAUGAAUCUGGAAAACAAAUUACAAGAACAGAGGUAAUGAAUUCAGCUAAGAAGGUGGAAGAUUUGAAGGAAAUUUGGGAGGGAAAAAAUGAGGAUUGCACUCAGGUUACUACAACCAAUUCCGGAUGGAAUAAUUCAAAAAUCUCUUAUUACAAUAAAGCAGACAUGUUUGCUUAUAAAGCUAUCAAUUUCUAACAAACUCCUAACUACACCAAUAAGAAUUAAACACGUGGCUCCUAAUACAAUCUAAACACGUGGCCUUCUUUUACUCAGCUCACUCCAUGACAAAGCCUCCCCCUUAAACAAUCCUUGUCCUCAAGGAUGUCGAACAAAGUUCCAGGCUUCCAAACAAAGUCUUCGGAUUGAUAUUUGGCAAUUCGCAGCAAGCAAGUAGUAUAAGAAAAUGGCAAAGCUUGCUGAUUCUUCUGAGUUUGAUAAGUUUGGUGGUCAGCCAGGCCUUGCGGCUCCAAAAUGUUUCCAACCUUUAAAGUUCUAAAUUGCCCAUCACUCCUAAAGCCAGGUCCUGGAAUUAGUUUUAGCUGAGCAACAAUAGCUGAAAUUCUAGAAAUAGCACCACCAACCAUAAAUAAUCUUUUAAGAGCAUCUUGAUCCGGAUAAUGCAAACCAAGGGAUUUCUCUACUGCCUUCAAAAGGUCUUACAAGUUAGCAUAAACACAACCAAGCAAGGUUAGAAGUCCUACUAUUUCUCCUGGAUUUGAAACAGAUAGGAGAAUUCCUAUAUAGCCAUUACAGGCCAAGCUAGCUAGAAAUUGCAGACCAAAGUACCUAUUGGUUCCCUCUUUUAAUUCCAAGAAAUUAGCAAGUACUGAUAUAGCUUUCACUGGUGCAUGUACCUGUAUGAUAUCCCUAUCUUGAAACACUUUUGCUGGUAAUAUGCCGUAAACCAAUGUGUUAUUAUCCUUACUAAAGUCAAUUUGACUACACCAUAACAAAGAUUGGGAAGAUUUCUCAUUAAGAAGUUCACUUUCCCCAACCUCCAUAAUCACAAUUUUACUUUUGUGACCACAUAUAGCAAGAGUAGAAAGUUGCCAAAUGGAAAUGCGGACACCAUAGAUAACUGUUGUACACUUCUCUACUUCUCCUUUCUGUGGACAUAUUCUUUCAAGCAAUUUGAAGCUGCACUCCUGUACAUAUUUCAAUUGUCCAUUGCUGAAGUUUUCAAGCAAGAUAACCUCACCGGGGUUGAACACGAAAAUGAAUGCAUUUGCAUCUUUUUCACCCCAAGUGCAGUGUUUUUCACUAUCCAAAAUGAAGACAGAGAGUAGUACUCAUUCACAGCAACAUUAGGAUUGCAGUCCUUACUUAAUUUAGGCAAUCCUUUGAUCAAGCAAACAAGGUGUUCAACUAUUGCUAUGUAAAAUAUACCUUGCAUCGAAACCACACCAAUUUUAGAGUCAUUACAGUCUUUGUUCAUUGCUAUUUUAGUACUGUCCCCAGGAUCAAAUAUCAAGUCAUCAAGUGGCCUAUUUUGUUGCGAAGGAACAAUAUUGACAGCACCAUCAUGCUUUUGUUCAUCAUUAUUCAUUUUCACAAGUUUAGAUAAUAACAUAGGGUCUGUUUGGAUUAGCUGUUUUUGGGGUUGUUUUUCAAAAACAGCACUGUAGCAUUUCGUUUUUCAAAUACAAGUCCGUUUGGAUUAGUUGUUUUUGGGGUUGUUUUUCAAAAAUUAUAUAAAAAUCUUUUACUGUAGAUGUUUUAUGGAUUAUUUUUAGAUGUAUUUUUAAAACAUAUUUUCGAGUAUUUUUAUAAUUUUAUAACAAUAUAUAAUUAUACAUUUAUAAAUACAUUUAUUAAUAUUUAUAAAUAAAUUUAUUUAAAUAUUUAUAAAUAAAUAUAUUUGUACUUUUAUAAAUAAAUAUAUUCAUAUAUUUAUAUAUAAAUGUAUUAUAUUAUAUAUAAUACAUAAUAUAAAUAUAUUUAUAAAUGUUUAAAUGUAUAUUACUAUAAAUAUAUAAAUUAUAAAUGAAUAUUAUAUAAAUGUAUAUUAUAAUUUAUAAUUUUUAUGUUUUUAUAUUUAUAUACAUUUAUGCAUUUAUAAUACAAUUAUAAAUAUUUAUAAAUAAAUAUAUUUAUAUAUUGAUGAAUAAAUAUAUUUAUAUAUUAUUCUAAAUAAAUAAGUGUAUUAUAUUUAUAAAUAAAUUUAUAUAUUAUAUAUAAAUAAAUAAGUGUAUUAUAUUUAUUUAUUUAUUAUAUAUUAUAUUUAUAAAUAAAUAUAUAAAUGUAUUAUAAGUGUAUUAUAUUAUAUAUAAUACAUAAUAUAAAUAUAUUUGUAAAUGUAUAAAUGUAUAUUAUUAUAAAUGUGUAUAAAUUAUAAAUGAAUAUUAUAUAAAUGUAUAUUAUAAUUUAUAAUUUAUAAUUUUUAUGUUUUUAUAUUUAUAUACAUUUAUGCAUUUAUAAUACAAUUAUAAAUAUUUAUAAAUAAAUAUAUUUAUAUAUUAUGUAUAAAUAAAUAAGUGUAUUAUAUUUAUAAAUAAAUUUAUAUAUUAUAUAUAAAUAAAUUUAUAUAUUAUAUAUAAAUAAAUUUAUAUAUUAUAUAUAAAUAAAUAAGUGUAUUAUAUUUAUUUAUUAUAUAUUAUAUUUAUAAAUAAAUAUAUAAAUUUAUUAUAAGUGUAUUAUAUUAUAUAUAAUACAUAAUAUAAAUAUAUUUAUAAAUAUAUAAAUGUAUAUUAUUAUAAAUGUGUAUAAAUUAUAAAUGAAUAUUAUAUAAAUGUAUAAAUUAAUAUAUUAUAAAUAUAUAUUAAUACUAUGUAUAAAUGUAUUAAUGUAAUAAAUAUAAAUGUAUACAUUUAUUAAUAUUAUGUAUAAAUGUGUAAUUAAUAUUAUGUAUAUUAAUAUAAAUGUAUAAAUGUAUUAUAUUAUAUAUAAUACAUAAUAUAAAUGUAUAUUAUAAAUAUACAUAAAUAUAUAUGUUAUGUUUAAAUGUACAUUUAUAUAAAUGUUCAAUAUAUAAAAUAUAUAUUAUGUAUAUAUUAAAUAUAUAUAAUAUAUAACAUUUAUAUAAAUGUAUAAUAACAUAUCUAUAAUAUAUAUAAUUUAUAUAAUAUAUAAUAUUUAUAUAAAUAUAUAAAAAUAUAUUUUAUAUAAAGUAAAAUAUUUAUAAUAUGUAUAAAUAAAUAUAUUUAAAUUAAUAUAAUAUAUAUAUAUCCUAUACAUAAUUGAAAUAUAUAAGUUGAAAUAAACAUAUUAAAUAUGUAUUUGGAGUUGUUUUUGAUAUAUUGUUUGGAUAUUGGUGUUUUUGAAGUUGUUUUUGAAAUACACAUUUACUGUAGCAUUUGGAUUGUGAAAAACAGUUUUUCAAAAACAGGCCCAAAAACAAGAAUCCAAACGGACCCAUAGAUUUUAGAUAUGAAGAACAGUUUCCAAACCAAUAACCACUACAGGAUAACUGAUUCCAAUUGAUUUUCAUCUCAGUGAACUUUUGCUUUACCUUGCGGCUGACCGAAAACCAAUUUCUGGGACAAUAGAGCGGUGAAGCAGAGUUAAAUAUUUCCUUGUCUAUAGAGCCUUGUUGCCAAGCUAGUUCCCCUAUAAGCAAUUCAUAGCUAAGCCCUUGAGAGAUAACACAAUUGUUGUGAGCCAAUCUAUCAAACACUAGGUUUAUAGCUUUUUCUUCUUGAUAGUCCCUUGCUGAUGUUUUAUGUUGGUUCUCCUCUAAAAAAUUCAUUGGAGUCCUUUGGCACAAUUCAUCAAACAUGUGGCUGACUACACUUUCAUCCUUCAAGUUAGUGAUUAUAUCAUUGUGUUCAGCCUUUAUAACCUCUUUUUUUUUUCAUAAGCUGCUCUCCUUUUGGUAAAUCAAGAGCAAAAUCAUGCUUCUCCAUCACGGCUUCCUCGAUUUUUGCUCGAAAAUAUGCUUCAUACAAGAUCUUGGGUGGAUUCCUAAAUCCCUUUAGCUUCAUCUGGAUAUUCCAAUCAAGCCCAAAGUUAAAACCAUCAAUAAAGUAUUCCUCACUGAGUUCUGGUUUCAAAGCCAACACCUCGUUUCUCCACUCUUCAAAUUCCUCAUAGUACUCUACUACGUUAAUUGUUUGUUUAGGCUUCUUAUACUCCACCAGGAAGUAAUUCAGCAUUUUAGAGAUUUCUUCAAGGGUAUAUAUAUAUAUAUAUAUAUAUAUAUAUAUAUAUAUAUAUAUAUAUAUAUAUAUAUAUAUAUAUAUUGGUUGGUCAGAAAAGAGAUGAAGAUGGAUAGGGAAGAAAGUGAAUCAGAAGUAAAGGAAAAAAUUAGGAGGAAAGAUUUCUAAUCAAGCAGCCAAACCCAGACGGAUCGUAGCUGCUCUGAUACCACUGUUAUGGUACAGAAGCCAGAGUGCAGAAAAUGUAAAAGAAAACAAACUUGAUUGUAAUGAUUCAGUGAAUAAUCAAUGAAACAGUAAUUGUAAUGAGCUCAACUUUCAUUAAUGAAUCUGGAAAACAAAUUACAAGAACAGAGGUAAUGAAUUCAGCUAAGAAUGUGGAAGAUCUGAAAGAAAUUUGGGAGGGAAAAAAUGAGGAUUGUUGCUCAGGUUACUACAACCAAUUCCGGAUGGAAUAAUUCAAAAAUCUCUUAUUACAAUGAAGCAAACAUGUCUACUUAUAAAGCUAUCAAUUUCUAACAAACUCCUAAGUACACCAAUAAGAAUUAAACACGUGGCUCCCAAUACAAUCUAAACACGUGGCCUUCUUUUACUCAGCUCACUCCAUGACAUUCCAUCAUCAAAGUUCUUAGAGCAGCUAAAGCUAUCAUAUAUAAUUCAACAGCUUGUGUCUUUCGCUUUCCUUUGCACUUGAUGGCUUCUUUAGAACUACCUACUCCUUCAGCUGGAUUAUCGCCUCUCCAAUAGAUGUUUUAUUGUACUCAGCCUUCCAUUGGCUCCAAAGAAGUUACUGCCAUGAACCAUCUUUAGAUGAAGUCGUAGCUAUUGCAUUUCGAUUUUGUACCUGUUUUUUGCCUUGCUUUGGCAUAUGCAUAUGAUUAAGCAAAAUUUCCAAGCUACUAAAGCAACAGACAAAAAAGUAACCAACCAACCACAUUUGAUAAAAAACUUCUGCUUCAGGAAGGAUUUGUGUAGUUUGUCAAAAAUGUCUCGAUAACAAGAAGCCCAAAAAAGAUUCUAAAACCAUGUCAGCAUAUAUAUGAUCAAGAAUCUUUUUGACUUGUAAGGUCGCAUUAACCAUUGGCUAUGGUCCAAUAACAUUAUAUUGAUCAGUACUGUAUAAUGGUGACAAGUAGACUGGGCAGUUCAUAUCAAUUUUCUUGGCUGAUUAUUUAUGGCUAUGUUUAGCGUGCUUACAAUUUUCUCUUGGCUGAUUAAUAAUGUUGAACUGGACUGAACUGAACUAAACAUCGCCCUCUUGAUUUCUAAGGCACUCAUGUUUGUCUCCUUUUCUGAGUAGAACUGUUAAUCGAGCCGAGUAUUUGGCUGUCGAGUUCGACUCGAGCGUAAUUCGAGCCGAGCUCGUUAGGAAAACGAGUUUUAAAAUGUGUUCGAACUCGAUUCGUUAAAUGUACAUAUCGAGCUCGAGCUCGACUCGUUUAUCACAAACGAGUCGAGUUUCACGAGCUCGAGUUCGAGUUCGUGCAAAUUAACCUUAAUAAAAAUCUAUAAUUUUUAAUUUUUAUAAUUUUGAUUUCUACAAUGACAAAUAUGCCCUUCAUUAACGAGUUCUAAUGAGCUACUCGAGUAUCAAACGAGCCGAGUGCUCGGCUCGUUAACUAAACGAGCAUGUUUCGAGCUCGAGGUCAACUCGUUAACCAAAAUUAACAAGCCGAGCUCGAGCCUUAACGAGCCGAACUCUAAUGAGUUUUCGAGCUACUCGAUUGACUUAACAGCUCUACUUUUGAGCCUACUUCUGCGCUGUCCUUUCAAUGACAGUUCGUUGAAAAUCACAAGGGUCUCAAUUGCUCAUAAAAGCCAAGACAUCGUUCAAUUAGUUGCCUAUAUGUUAUAAACAUACCACUGGCUAAAAUCGUUCAAUUAGUUGCCUAUAAACAUAUAUACCACUGAUUCCAUGCUAGUAGUUUAUCAGCAUACCAUGUGAUUGUAGCAGCCACUGGAGUUUAGUCCGUGACUACGACAGAACUCUUAGAAUUCUUCUUCUUCUCACUCUGCUAGAUUCAGAGAAAUUCUUGAUUCGACUCUCAAAACUCUCUCUCCCAUAUAUCUAAUGUUUGUAGUUUCCGGUUGAACUAACUUCUCCCCGAACAACUCUCCCACUUAAGAACAGUAAUUAUGGUUAACUGCAGAUGACAGCAUUGUACUCAAAUUUCCAACAUCGGACAUUUGCAGAACAAAGGAAUCUAAUCUGUCACAUCUCAUUUGCCCAAAAAAUCUACCGGUAUCAUAUCUCGUAUUCCAGCCGUAUCGCACUUCUCAUGUUUUUUAUCUUCAACUUUUCGGACAGAUAAUUAUUCAAAAAAAGAAGAAAAAAAAAACUUUUCAAACAGACAAAGGUGGCAAGUAAUAAUAGAAAAAUGCAGUACAUGUACUACUUCCCAAAGCAAUAAACUAAUCAGACAGGUAAUGACUAACUAGUUAGGUUAGGUUACAACCCUUCCCAGUUAAAUCGUCAGAAAACAGUCAAAAGUUGCUCGACUAAUCCUACUCCUAUCUUCAAGCAGAAAAGGGGGCAAUAAACAUACUACUGCAUUAAUCAAGGGAUAACGACAAUUUAUCUUGCCAGCCUGCAAAUCACAAUCGGCAUCAAAGCAUUCGUUUGACAUUAUGGAAAUUAAAAGUUGAAUAACUCAAUCUCAUGAAUCACGACGCCCUCAGAAAGUUGCUCAUUUGGCAGUUGCAUCGAUCUUAAGUACGUUGCUUACUGGUAAAGUCGUCAAUUAAUUAUCUGCCGACGAGACUCACUUGUGGUAUUUGUUUUAGCCUAUGUUUUUACAGUCCGAGGGAAGGGAUCAAUCUCAAUCCUUUUUCCCCUCUCUAAAGUGUCUAGUCAUGCUCCACUGUCCAGUGAUUUUGCCUUCUUGCAGAAGAAAUGUAGUUUGACCACUGAAGAUUAUCAUGAUUUGGUUAACCUUACACACACACACACACACACACACACAAAAAAGCAAUUGGCUUUUUCACAUUUCUAUUAAAAGUGAGUGUUUAUCAAGGAAUUAUUGAUGCAACUAUUGUUUUGUUUUUUUUUUUUUUCUUUGCUUCCUUCACGUUGUCUUCUUUAUUUGGAAGCGCAGCCUUAAGACAAUCGCCCAGAUUUUAAUAUGACUGCUGCAAAAUAAUUUUGGCAUAUUUAAAAGUUAUGAAAUUAAAAAUACAAAUAAAUUUAAUAUAAUUUUUGAAAACUAUGCUACAUUUGUAAACUUGUUUGUAUGUAUGAGAUGCUAAAUUUAUCAAAAUUUUAUCACACUAUUACUUAAAUAUGUAUAAAUCUACAUUUGUUAUGAUACAUAUUGCUCUUAUUUUAUAUAUAAUUUCAAAAGCACGUCAUUAUCCUUAAAUUUUAAAACUUUUUGAAAAAUUGAAGCAUAAUCUGUGAAAUUUAUAAAGUUUAUUACGUUUUAUAUAUGAUUAAUUGAAAGGUACAUAUAGUUUUUAAAUAUACGAAAUGUGAAAUUUUUUUUAAAUGAUACGCACAAAUAUGUAUAUAUUAUACGGAUAUAAUACAGCUAUGUCAUAGACGACCGCUCUCCUCAGGUCGAAGCCUCGUUAGGAAACUGUGGGCGGCUGGGUCCCAUGGUACGAUUUGACCACUAAACCGCCUGACGAAGAAUCACAAACACAAACCUCCGCAACCCAAGAAGCCGCCUUUCAAAUUAUAACCCAAAGCCGACACCCGAAUUUCUCUGCUGUUGGCUACCCUUGAGUUGAUCCAUAAAGGACUAGUCGCCAGAAAGGCUUAGGGUCAGAAAGCUACUAUUCUGUGAGGGAAAAUUAAUUUUUUUAAAAUAAAAUAAAAAAAAAGUCAACUCCUUAUAAACACGAUCCUAUCCAGUUUGAAGUUCAGAAGGAAGAAAAGCUCAGGACCAUGGUUUAUGAGCUGACUCAAGCAAAACUCUUAAUCCAAGGUAACCAAGAUCCAUCCGGAUUAGACGUACCAAUUAGCAAAAGGUCCAAUUAUCCUAAUCAAGGUUGAUGUUUUGACCAAAUUUAUAAAAUAAAAUAAAAUAAAAAAAUGCCCGGAGAUAAAUUACACACACGUAUGUUUCAGCCGGAAAUGAAAGAAAUAAACUACUACAUGUAAACCUCAUACUGCAUUAAUUUUAAUUUUGGGGAAGCUGAAUACUUCUUUCUCCCCAUCUUUGCCGGUAGAUAGUACAUCUCUCUCACUUUUGGUCAGGAAUGUAAAAAGUUACAAGUAAAUGAAAGAGGAAACAAGUAACAAAGAAUUUGGAAAGAGGGUUGAAAAAAAAAUCGUGGAUCAAAGCCAUAUCUGAAGACAGGAUGAUUUUGUUUAGUAGCAUUAUGGAAAACCAGCCAUCAUGUCACAACCCAAUCACAGCUUGAUUGACCUGUAUAACAAACAACAAUAGCAUGUGAGGCUUCCCCGUCAGCACCCAACAUUUAUAUAUAGUUGUUAAUGCAGCCAACAUGUUUUGAUACUCAUGCUCCACAUAGCAUCAACUUCUUAUCUUCUUUCCCCUCAUUCUACAUUUUAUCAAUUGUUCAAAACAGAUUUUUAAGGAAUCAUGUUCAAUCACCAAAAAAUUGCUCCUAAAUUUGAUAUCUAAGGUGCCCGGAAAUUUUUAUUUUCUUUAAAAAAAUCCCGCCCGGGAGCUACUGCAUGGAAUCUAAUAUCAGCAACAUUUUCCUUUUUUUAAGGAGAUUAAGAGGUAAAAUAAUUUUGACGAAGGAGAUUACCAUACCAAGACAUACCAUGCUGCUGCGCAUUAGGCUUUUACAUAAUCCAUACCGUUGCGCUUGCGUUUGUUAGACCUUGAAAAGAAACAUAUCUGAGCCCAAGAUUUCUUCUGCUUGACUGGUUGCGGCUUAGCAUCCCUCUUCGCAACAAGGUCAACCAUGUACUGAACGACAGCCUAGACAGAAUAAAGUCUAGGUUAGUCACAUUACAAACUGCAGAGAGUACAACAGAAGUGAAAACUAAGACCUACCUGAGCACCCUGGUCAAUAACAUUUUUUGCUGGCACUUCUAGAGGAUUUCCUUCAACAUUCAAGACGCGUAACCGAGAUAACAUCCUAAAAGAGUCUGGAAGGAUCCUUAUCUGGUUAUUGCUCAUAUCUAACUCUUCAAGAAGUUCUAGAUUGCCAAUGGACCUCGGAAGAUACCGUAGAUCUGCAAAAUUGUUGCUUAUGUUCAUUUUCACUAGUGUAGUAGCAAAGCAUAGGCUCUCAGGCACAGCUUCAAGCUCAUUGAAGCUAACAUCAAGCUCCCGCAAGCUCAAAAGGGAUGCCAUUGUAGUUGGCAAUUGUCUUAUGUUAUUAUAUCGUACAGCCAGAACCUCAAGGGAUUCAAUUCGGCCCACAGCUUCUGGAAGCGCUUUAAGCCUGUUAUAGUCUGCCCGGAGCUCUUUGAGCGAAGAACACUGUCCGAUAGUAUGAGGAAUCUCCUCGAUAUCAUUAGUUUCAACAUUCAAAGUCUUCAGGCUGACAAGGGAACCUAUCGUAUCAGGAAGCGCUGAGAGUGAAUUGGAGCUGAGAUUAACCUCUUGAAGGCGGACCAAUCUAGCAAAUUUAGCUGGCAGCGAUCUUAACUGAUUUCCACUCACGUUCAGAGACACCAAGUUAAGCAGAUCUCCAAUAGAUUCUGGCAAUUCAAUUAUCCUAUUUGAAUGCAAAUCCAACUUUUGCAAUGAGGACAGGCCUCCUAUGGUGUCUGGUAAAGCAACGAUUCGGUUCUGUGACAAAUCCAAGGUGAUCAAACUCGAUAGCUUCCCCAAGGAAUCAGGAAGCCAUUCUACUUGGUCCAUCAACUUCCCCUGAAGAUUAAGUUCCCGAGUUCCUUUCUUUGAUGAUACUUCAAUUAAGCUAGCAAGCUUUAUCAAACUGAGUUUUUCACCCUCUUGACCUACAUGAAACAACCCAGUCACUUCUACAUCAAAAUAUUAUCUUUAAAGCAUCAAAAACACUAGAACACGCCCAAAAAAAAAAAAAAGAGAAAGAAAGUAAUCACAAAUCCCCAAACCCUUCCCCUGAAAGUGAAUAAACAGAAAAGCUUCGACGUAAAAAACAUAAAUGGCCUGCUCGGACAAAGUAAAUCUCAUUGCAGAAAACAAAUUAAGACGUACCAACAUUAAUAACCGGCUUUAGAGUUGAGUCAACUAUCUGGGGUGUGGUCGAAAAUUCCCCAGAUCGCCGUCCAACCCUCAAUCCCUCCACAUGAAACGUGCCCUUCGCCUUCUUCAGAUAACUAUCAUCUUUACUAAACAAUUCAGAAGCCUUCACAAUAUCCUUCUCAUUAUAAAACGUUGACAACGACGACGACGUCGUGGCAGUGCUCGUAUUCGUCGUGGUAGUGGCCGGAGAGUUAAUACUAUUCCCGGAAAACGAUGCUGAAGUCGACAAGGACAUACUGCUCGAAUCCCUCGAAUAACUCGUGGAAUACGAUAACGACUCAUUAUUAGCAUUGGAUUGAGAAGAACCCGACGGAGACAAGCAUUUAGAAGCUCUCUGAAUCAAAUCAUCGAACACGCAGUGGACGUGUUCGAGAUCCAACAGCUUAACAGCCUCCCUCUGCUGUUCCUUGCUCUGAAAAUAAACCAUAUUCUUCUGCAUCUCCUGCAAUAUCUUGAACAAUUCAUCUGGGACAUUUUUAGCUUUAAUUUGCCUGGAAAUUGCUUCAAUCCUGGCUUGAUCUUCCUUCUCAACGUUUCUAAUGAGCGUUUUAGCAGCUUCCACUUCCUCAAUCGUUGGCCUUGUAGGCAAAGAUCUAUGCAUUCUCAUGAUCUCCGCCACGACUUCUUCAAUUGACAUAGCUGGUUUCUCCAUUUUUUUUCUUAUAAUAUCCCUUCCUAUAUUUUCCCAAGCCAAAACAAAAGCACCAUGGUUAGAACUAAAUGAAACGAAACAAACCCCGUAAUAUCAAAAUCAAAUAGUCAGCCCCCACAGCCCACAGGACUGAAGUUUCCUCAUCUCAAAAAACGGAAACAAAAUUGGAUUUUGCUUUCAGUUUUCUUCUAGAAAACUAUUCAACGUUGACAAAACCGGAAAAAAAAAAAAAAGGAUCGCCCCGCAAAAACCCCACAAAUAACAAAACCAAAAGGAACCCGUUUGCAGCUAUACAUAAACUACUUCAGAUAACACGCAGAACAUUUCCAAAACCCAUCCAUUUAAGGAAAAAAAAAGGGAAUAGAAAUAGAAAUUACCCACCACUGAGCUUGAAUUUGAUGACACAACAACACAAUGUUGAAUGAAGUUGCUCUGUUUCUCAGGCUAAUCUUUUACAACAUGGAAUCUGAAUCAGAGAAAAAGAAGAACACGAACUUAAGGGCUUGUUUUGGUCAAUGAAAGAAAGAAGAACAAGAAGUAUAUUCAUCUGCACAAUGGGUUUAUCACAGCUACAGUUUUCUGAUGAUGUAUCUUCCGCAUUGCAUUGUAUAGCUGUUUUAAUUUUUUUUUUUUUUUUGUAUAGGGUUUUAUAUUGGGACAAAUCUAUUUAUACAAUAAAAAAUAUUCCCACAGCUUUUACUUUACUAUUGCAAUUCUGUAAUUGCGCAAGGAUUUCUCACCGUCUCUCUUUUUUUUCACUUUUUCUUCUUGGUGGUAAAUGAUUUUUUGAGGAGUGAGGUGCUAUAAAUAGUGGGGGAAGAGACGCGCUGAAAUGGGAAAACGACUGAUCGGUUAUCAAAGUAAGAAAUGAUCUGCAUUUCUGUGUUCCGGCAAAAUUGGUUUGUCUUAUAUGGGUGGUUGUUUUUCAUUCUUGCGUUCCGAAAAUGCCCUCUGGAAUUACAGGUAAUGACGUAACUGCCGCAGCAUUUUUCUAGGAUGCUCGGACAGCUCUGACCUUUUCUGCGGCAAAAUAUUUUGCUUUUGUUGGGGCUUCUAUUUAUUAUUUUUGACAGAAGAUGGCUGCUACUUUUUAUUGGAGUGACGUCAGCGAUCCAUAUUUUUUUUUUCCCCCCAAUGUCUGGAUAAUCAGUUUAGUCAUUCCCUUGAACUGUGCCCUCUCUUUUUGGAAAAGUAUUUUUAAUCAUUAUAAAUGUUUAAAUUGUUGUGGUUAUUCCUCUCGAUCUAUUUAAGUACCUUUUUUUUUUUUGUCGAAACUCAUCGGAAAAAGCCACUAAAAACAGUCACAUAUAAUAAUAAUUUGGUGAGAGAUAAGGAUUGAACCGUUAACCUCUCAACACCGCCAAGACUUGAGUGCUUGGCAGAGACCACCAAAGCCAAAGGGUUGGCGGCCUAUUUAAGUACUUGCUACUUGUGAAAGAAGUUUAAAAAUGUAAUAUAAACAUUUUAACUUCCUUUCUAUAUUUAAACCCGUUUGAAUUGCUAUUUUUCGGAGCUUAUUUUUUUGGAGAAGAUGUAUCAUUUUGAUUUAAUGUGUGUGAGAUAAAAAAAAAUGUGAUUAGAAUAUGUGUUUAUGAAAAACUUUUCCGUAAAAAACAGUAAUCCAAACAAGAUAGAGUCUACUUUCAAAAUGUUGAUGCGUAAAGAGCAUGCAUGCAUCAUUUCGGAAUUAAAAAUAGAAUUUCAGAUAUUGCUGGAACAACUAAUGAGGUAAUAAUAAAAGAUUCAUAGCUCUAUGAAAACCCAACAAAAUAAAAAUAAAAUACUAGUAUAGGGAAAAAAAAAAAUCUUCACACAAGAAGAACUAUUAGGACAAGUUCAUGGUAAAAGGGCAAAAAAAAAAAUCUUGGUAUAAGUUAGAGAAACUAGAAAGAAAGAUAAAGUUCAAGACUAUGGACUGUGGCGCACGCUGUUGGCUUUUGUUUUCAGUUUUCAGCACUUGAUUGAUUACGAGAUUCUGCUAGUAAUUUCUCCACAUUUGUGUGGAAACUGUGCGAUAAUAACAGCUUACUUAGUAUAUGCUAAUGAAGAUUCCUCUUUUUUUUUUUUUAAAUCAUUAUAAUUGAGCAUUGAUUCAUUAGCUGAUUCAUUAAUCAAUUUUGGAAGUCCUUUUGACAGUUGUGACUGGGGGGCGUACAUGAUCUUAUCUAUCCUUUUAGGGUCCUUUUUCCCUUUGGCCUUUUCUCUUUGGCCAUUGCAGGCAAAAGUCCGCAAAGUUGCCGGACAAAUGUCAUCCCACGAAUCACUCGCUCCACAACAUUAUUUAUUACUAUGUUACUUCUUUAAAUCAGCACAUCUGUUAGCACUAAUUAGCAAUCCAUGCAUCAAAUCAAACGUUAAAAAUCUGCAUUCAAUAAAGUCAUUGUAUUAUUGUUGUGGAUGAGUCUCUUUUUUUGCUUUCCUAAUAAUUAGUGGCCAAUGUCAUAUGCCAAAUACAGGUAGAAAGUCAUGCAGCUUUUCGUGUGGGUCCGGGACGGUAUCCAAUACUGGAUCAAAAUGGGCUUGCAAAGGAGUACCUGCCAUCCUAAAAAAUAGCUUUUCUUUUUGUUUUAUAUAUAUAUACAUGAAAAUCUUAUAUCUACAAUACAUUUCAUUUUUUCAGAAAAAAAAAAAAAGAGAGCUUGCUGGUAUAAUCCUGUAUUCCAAAAUCCUCUAAAAUCACUUAAAUGUUGGGCACAAAGAUAACAAUAUAAAAGAAAACAAAUCAUUUACUAAUUAAUUUUUUUAAUGCUGUUCAAUAACCAUUAUUAUCAACACAUCUAAAUUUUACUGAACCUAUUAUGUAUAUACACGUACUGUACAUUUAUAUAUUUUUUCUAUUUAUUUUUGUCUACAUUUUUUUUGUAUUUAUUUAAUUUUUCUAACUAAUCUUGUAUUUAGAAAAAUAUAGCACUUGAAGUAUAUGCCAGUCAAACGCUCUGAUGGGCCGUCUGCUAAUUACUUGCUUAACAUACCGUAAGAUACUUAGCUUCAUUAACUUCACUUCUCUUUCGUUCUUAUUAAAUGAUCCCAUAUCUCCAUAGAUUAUACUAAAUUUGAAGUGGUUAGAGUAUUGGUCAUGUAAUUUUCAACAUCUGGAAAUAAUUUACUUGCUUCGUUAAAAAAAAAAAAAUUUCCCCUUUUCAAGGCCUUUCUUGAACAUAUUUAUAACAAUUCAACUGCAAUUCAACUCACAACGCUAGUCAUUGACUUUCAUUUGCUUUUGUGCCAUUCUAAUCUUACAUUUAAAAAAAAAAAGGGUAAUUUCAUCAACACAUCAUUGAAAAAUGAAACAGCACGAGCAUUGACAUGAUCUUGUAACUAUUUAUGUGACCUUGUUUAGCAUUUCAUUGUAAUUUUGGUUCCAUUAAUAAUCUCUUAGUGGAUAAUACGAGGGCAGAAACGUCAUUACAGCCACGAUAAGAGCAGGUAAAUUUAGGUGCGAGGUGAGGUCAUCAUUUUUUUUUUUUUUCCCCGGUUCGGGAUUCACCAGCCCAUCAUAUGAAUCGCCAGGCUCUACUGCAUCCAGUAAUAAAUGAAGCCCAGAUGUCCAUGUUGGUUUGAUGGACACGUGUUGGAAUCAGGUUGUACAGAACGCCACGUCCAACCAUUUCCAGCUGGCACUGCAACUCACGCGAUAACCGUUGCUCUGCGAACCCUUUUACGUUCUGUGGGGCCCCACCACAUCCACGAGAUGGAAUGGAGGGGAGCUGUUAUUGCCUGUAGACGACCUCACCCGCCAUCCUGUGAGCUGUCCCUGCGUGAUUGAGAUUUGAGAGAGACCCAUGCCCCACCGUGAAUGGGCCCCCUCAGCUGAGUCUCUACGGUGGAAUCUGAUUGUCGGCCCGAAAAUUGGGCCAAGGAUUAAGCCUGGGUCGCUGAGCUACCAGCUUGCUAACAUGGCCUGUUACAUGAUUACUGUAUUUUGUUUGAAUGGACCAAUAUGAAAUAAUAUCGAAUAUUUUUUCAUCUUACCAAGUAAAUAAAUAUUUAUUUAUUUAUUGGUUAGAUGGAGGCUAUAAAAACCAAAAUCUAUGAAGAAAUAACUCGACGAUGAGUCAAUCCCAUAUAAUCCGAGCCCAAAUUUCGUCAGGAGGAUCCGAUGAUGAUUUGAGUCGGGAUGGCAUGCUCAAACUCAUCUACGCUAGAACAUCGGCACAAGAAUUUCCUUCUCUCAAAAAGUGAUUUAGUGCAUAUUUCCAAUCACAACUAAGACCAUCAAUUCAGCACUUAAAUUUUAAAGGAAUCAGAUAUUAAUAUAUUCAAACCGUUUGAUAAUCACAAAUCGAAUAUCUGAAUUAAUUAAGUGGCACUGAAUAUUUUAAACAAAACAUACUCUUAAAAUUAAGUGAUAAAUUAUUCACUUAUCACUGAAUGUAAUAUACAAUCAAAUAUAUUAGCUUAAAUACUUAAUAAUUCAAUUAAUUUAAUGAAUUCAAACUUCAAAUUUUAAAUUUCAAACUUUAAUUUUCAGAUUUCAGUUUUAUCCAAGGCACCCUUAAGUAACUCAAGAAUACUUCAGAAAAUCUUUUGACGCUUCUCCAAUCUUUUCAUUUGCCUCUGGACGUUGAUUAAAGUCUAGGAAAGUUCUUUUUUUGUGUUUUAAUUGAGGGAUACUGGUUAGUGGUCUAGCCCACAGUCAUCAGCCUAGCCUGAUGGCUUUUAGGUCUAGUUCAGUACAACUGGACCUAUUUGGUCUGUGGAUUAGGGGGUGGGCACGGGUCGGGUAUCCGCCCGUAACAUGAUUUGGCUGACCCGACCAUAAUAUAUCGGAUCAACCAUUUUGCGACCCUAACCCGCUCCUAAUAUUUUCGGGUACCUGAAUAGCGGGUACUCGAAAAAAAAGGGGCGGGUCAUAGAGUAUCCGCCCCUAAAAAAAACUAAUUUUCAAUAAAAAAUUUUAUUUUCUACUUAAUAUCAACAUGUUUUUCAAUAAAAAAAACAUGCUUUUCCAAUUAAUAUUGGUAGAGAUAUUGUAAUUAAAGUCCAUACAUCACCAUUCUCACACAUUUCAUCCAAUAAUCAAAUCGAUCUCAUAAAUUUAGUACAUAUUAGAAUAUCUAAUAGACAAAACGAAGUUUCAUAAUAAUUUUGAGUACAUCACCAUUUUCACACAUUUCAUACUUCUACAACACAACAAACACAAGGAUAAUAAAUAUUUGGUAACUUCCCCAAGGAUAAUAUGGUACAAGACCGCAUCUCAAAUAAGUCAAUUGUGAACUCAAGUUCGGAAAAGAAUUGAAUAGUACUAAUUAUUUUUGAAAAAAAUAUAACCAAAAAUAAUGUUAAAAAUCUUCCCCAACUUCUUUACAUCUUUGGAAUAGACCUUAUGGUAUUAAGGUGAUGAAAAAGAAAAAUAAAUUUCUUACACUAAAUAAAAGAGACAAAUUAAAGAGAUAUAAUUGCAAAUGAAUAACACAAAUAUUUUAAUUAUCUAGCUAACAGAAAAUUGAAACUCCAAACAAAAAUCUUUGAUUGAAUUGAUGCAAGAUUUGCAGGAAAGAUCGAUGGAGGUAGAAUAAAAAUAAAAAAGAUGAAAAGGAUGAACAAUUUUUAUAACAGAGUUUCACAAAUUUUUUUUUUUCAUUUUGUUCAUGUUUCACCGAAAAUAUUCGCUUUCUUCAAAAAAUAUGAGAAGAGUAGAUCAUAUAGGAUUAUAAUAUGAGGUUGCAAGCCACUUCACUUGCACUUAGAAUUAAAAAUUACAAAAUUAUAAAAUGAUCCAUACUUUUUUAAUAUUUAUAAAAUAUACCCUACGGAUCGGGUACCCGCGGGUUUUUAUUUUUCUGAUCCGUAUCCGUACCCGAUUAUUCGGGUACCCGACCCUCAUCUGCCCCGCUAAGAAAAAUCGGAUCGGGUAUCCUAUUUUUCGAAUCGGAUCGGAUCCGGUUCAUCGAAUUUUCGGAUCGGCGGAUUUUUUUGCCCACCCCUACUGUGGAUAACUGUCCCAGAUGCUGUGUCGCUGGGAGGAUGGGCUGGAACGGUUGUCCCAGAAGGUUCACGAUCAUAAUUAGGUCAAAAAAAUUUAUACGGUUCAAAUCACUCCUUGUAAUUCGAUUUUCACGUCGUGUGGGAUCCAUAAAAAUAUUAUUCUAAUGUUACUCACUGUUGUUUUAUUGUUACAUCUUGUACUGAUGAUGUUACACCGUGUGUAAAUAGUGUUACAACUUUCGAAACGGUUGCUUUGACAACCGCUCCAGCCUCGGAUCCGUUUUGUGGAAUCUCGGUAACAUCAAUUGGGACUUGACUGACUAAAUGCGAACUGUGAGUUGCCUUCUGUUUUGGCAUCUUUCUUUAUUUAGCGUAUGCAAGACAAACAAGUGCAGAGCGACAAAAGGGUUAAAAUUAUUAUUAUUAUUAUUUUUUAACCAUCAUCCUUAAUCUGCCUAGUGAGGCUACAAUCAAUCCAUAUGCGGACUCCAUUAUUUGUUAGUGGUACAAAAAAAGAAUAUGCGGACUCCAUUAUUUGUUUUACGUACUUUAAUUUUAUUUAAACUUUAUUGUGCGCAUAAUUUGAUGGAUAAUUUUGAUACAUUCAACUUGCUCUACGCCGAUUCCUUAAUAAAUAAAUAAGGACACGGGUAAACUGAAGCCGAAAGGCAAAAACCUGAAGACUUGUCAAGCUCUGCCAUAUUUUUGUUGGACGGUUUUAUCCCCAGUUGGUUGCCUUUCAAAAUACCUGUAACAUAUUCUGAACUUUUUCAAUACUACAAACUCUUACACUUUUUCGCUCCAAAGAACCCGCAAAAAAAAAAAAAAAAAAAUUUAUUAAUCAUUAUGCUUUAGCUUCCUAUCUCAAAAUCCCAAAUAAAACAAAAAAAAACUUGUAAUUUAUUUGGUUAUCUUCACACUGGAAAGGUUUCAAAAAAAAAAUUUUCCUGUCCUAAAGUAUAUUAUUCAUCUCUGUCCAAAAAUUUAAGUAAUUUUUAUAAAAUAGUCACAAAUAUAUUCUUUAACAUAAAUUUUAAUCAUUCUUUUAUUUUAUGUGCAUCAAAUCGUUAUUACACAUAGUGAGUGUGUUUGCAUCAUAAUUUAUUUAAAAUAAUUAUUGUAACACUUUUUAUAAUGUGACAUGAAAAGAUAAUUGAAAAAAUAAAAAAGUAUAUUAAAAUUUGUUAAAUAAAUUAUUUUUUCUCAAAUCAUCCCAAUCAAAAACACAGUGGGUAUGUUUGGACAAAUAAUUUGAAGUAAAAUAAUUUACUUCACAAAUUUUAAUCACUUUUUUUAUCUUCUUAAUCACAUUUUUAUCUCAUAUACAUCACGUAUCACGUGACAAACAUGCUACAGUAAUUAUCUCAAACAAACUCCCUCUAUUUCCUUUAUCUCCUUCUCUUCUCUUUAUCUAAAUGGGCAUAGUCACAGCUCCACGAACCGCUACAGAUGAAGUUCAGCAAGUCCAGUACAACUUUUAAAAGGACAGUUUAACCUUCUAUUCUACCGCUUUGACUACCAGCAGAUGACAACUUGGGUGAAGGGCAUAAUUAUCAACUCACUUCAACAAAGCCCUAAGCUAUAUAACCUCCACCGCGCCUCUCCGGUUCCCUCCUUCGCAGCCAUAUUACUUUCAAAUUCCCGGCCGCCAUCCGUCAAUUCCGCUGCCGCCGUCAUCUCUCUCCGAGAAAUCCAACCGUAAGGAUUAGCAACCUCAAUACUUAAAUUUGAACGAGAGAAUUUUGAUAUUUAGCUGAGCGAUACAAAUUUUGUGAAUAAUUAGGGCAGUGUUUUUCUUGACUCAAUUUUAUCUUCAUGUUGCAGGAGUGAAAUUUGAUAGUGUUUUGUUCUUUUAAGUGUAAAAAAUCGAACUUUGAUAGGAAAAGAGAAUGGGUGUCGAAUUAGCAGCUGAGCAAGCUAGGAGCUAUGGAGACUUAAAGGAUGAUGUUAAUAUCACGGACUCGGAGUUGGAUAAGAGUGUCAGAAAUGCUCUCAAACAUGCUCUUGAGGUACAAUGAUUCCCAAAAUUUCACUUAAUUUUUUACUUUUUUGCCUCUUUCUAUCUUUUUUUUUCCUACCGCUUAGUGCAUUUAUAGAUUAAUUGAUAUUUAGUUAUUGUGUUGGGAAGUGUUGAUUUAUGAUUAAAUAGCUUUUCUUUUGAAUUACAAUAUAAACCAGUUUAGUGGAAUACAAGUAAAUGGGAAAAGUUUUCUCUUUUCCCUGAUUUUUCAAACUUCAGUGAGAUUGUGGUAAUUCAGUGUGAGAAAGUGUUUUAACAUUCAUUUUGUGCCAUAGGGUGAUUAUGACAGCUAUAACCAUCUUGUUGGGACGAUGCAUCAUAGUGAACGCUUACACCCUGACGAGGUGGCUCUACUUGAGGUAUGUGUUUGUUUGAAACCCAUUGUUAUACUAUGGCUUGGGGUAAUUUCAGAGCUUGCGUCCUCCUAAUUUGCAUUUUCGUUGUGAUUUUUGAAUGCCAGACGUGCUUGAAAUCUUUAAGGGGGGCAGUUUCUUGUAUAGAUGUUGUUCACCACCGAUCUCUUCUUGCAGCUGUAAGUUAAUUAAUAUGCAUGCCUAUGUUCGUUUGCUUCUUUUAAGAAUGUUUAAGAAAUAUAUUUUUGCAUUUCUCAAGAGGAAAUUGUCUUCAGAUCUUUGGAAUGAGCUUGUGGAACUACGACACUCAUGUCAUGGAUGCUUUGGUUGGACUAGUUACAUCCUUGGUAUAAGAAAUUGUCUUAUCAUUGUUUUGGUAUGGCGGAACAUGUACUCAAAGAGCCUAGCAAUGAGAACAUGUCUCCAGUACUUGGUCUUAUUUGGACACUUUGAGCUGACCACUGUAUAAUGUUAUUGUAGGCUGCAUCAAGUCCACAAUAUGUUGAUUUGUGCUUGGAUAUGCUAGUGAGCAAUUUUCUGCCUCCUUAUUCUUUCUUGGAGUUACUGAAGCAGCCGCGUGGCAUUAUAAGAAAGGAUCAAGUACUUGAUCGUGUGCACUCAACUUUGAAAGAUAUAGCCCAUUUAGUUCCUCUUUCCCCUUUGAGACUAGAAAAAGUUGUGAGGGAAAGAAUGCCCAAUAUAUAUACAAAAGAACCUGUGAGUUUAAGUUCACUCACAUUUCCUGUUUGUGUGUGUGUUUCAGUGUGUCUUUGUGUGUUGUGGUCUGUUUAUCUCUUGUAUUGAAAGUUUAUUCUUCUAAUGGUUCCUGGGAAUGUGAACAGUAAUUUACAAGCCUUUCUCUGCACUAUUUGUUCUUUGAUGUCGUUGACACUUGUAGUAUUAUGGCUAUAGAUGCCGCCAUUUGCUUAAUGUGCUUCUACAGUCAUGUGGAAUGGCUUCAGGCCAAGAUGCAUUUUCCCACUAACAUGAUGGUAAUGUUCCUUUAGGUGCUGGCAAAAUAUGCCCAAUCAAGUUACAUUUUGAUGUUGACAUUGAAGGCAUCUGUUCAGGACGAUCUUUCAUUGGAAAAAGGGCUUGAAGUUUGAUUUUCCCAGAAUAUAUUCUAAUUUGCUCUGUGAAGAACAUGAUAUAUGAGCAUUUGAUUACGAUAGUCAAGUUUAUAUCUUAAUUAUCUUUUUCGUGGUUGGAUCUUUGUAGUCCCAUAUGUUAGGGGUUGAAACCCUGAUUUCCUCUCCUCAUUCAAAAGAACCAAUAAAUUUGAAAUUCCAUCUUGUAUUAUUGUCUAAAUAUUUGUGAGGUUUCUAUAUCUAUGCAUUGUUUUCCCUUUUUUUUUUUUCUUUUUCGUUUCUUCCUUAAUGAACUGUUUUUUGGAAGAUGCAUGCUUAAAGAAGGAUUCUUCUUUAAUAUAUGACACAUUUUGACGAUUAUAAAUUGAGACACUAUUUUUUUCUGUUAAUAGACUGCUGUUCUAUUUCCAUAGAUUGUUUUUUAUUUUUGUGUUCAAUUGUGGUCUUCUAGGUUGCACUUAUUCUUGUUAUUUCUAUGCUGUGUUCACAUUCUUUUGUUUCUUGCAGUUGAUCGUGAUGUAUGUUGAGAACAUGUUAAGAUUGGAGAGUGGUGUAAUAGGUGAACUUGUUGGGAGCACAAUGCUUAUGGCAGUCGUAGAUAGGCUAAUUGAUUUGGAUGUGAGUUUUUUUUUUUAUCUGCAUCAAAGGUAAACAAGUGAUGAGAGAGUGUCUCUUAAGUUUUUAUUUUAUUUGGGUUCCUUAUAGGUGGAGAUAGCUUGGGAUGACAUUUUGCAAGAUGAUUUCAGCAAGGGCAUUUUCCAGAUGGAGCUAGAAGGUCUUGAGGGGCCUGCAGAUGAUGAUGGUGAUGAGGUGCUUUAGACUGCUUAUUGUUUCUGUUGCUUUUUUUUUUUCCCAAUGCUGUGCUUUAUAAAUGUUCUCUGUUGUAGGAUAGUGUCCCCCACCCCCCCACCCCCCCCCCCCCCCAAAACACCAAAACCACCACCACCAAAAGAAAAAAAAAGGAGAAGUGUAACUUUUGGGUAAUGACUUGUACAGAUUUUUCCCAUGCUUGUCUUCUUUGAAGCUGCAAUUAUGGAUUGAUCAGUUUCGUAGUUCAUCAAAUUUAGUAUUGGAUUGGUUAGACACGGGGAUGGCAACAGGACGGUGGACCCCUGACCCCACUCCACAGAUGUCCUUUCCGCCCACCCUCCGGGAAUCACACUUUUUUCAAGCACACAGCAUUAAACUACACCAAUAGCCCGCAGCAACAAGCGAAGAUCACUGCAGUGCUCAAAACCCAAAAGUUACAUUUAUACCUACUAUUAGUGCCUUUGCCUCCUUUUCAUCUCUCUGGGGCUUGAUUUUCACUGAAAAAAUGGUUGCUGAUGAAGAUUCUUUGCCUCUUCAUUUUGCUGGGCCUUGAUUUUCACUCUGAAAAUUGGUUGCUAAUGAAGAUUGGGACGAGGGGAUGGUGAUGAUGGAUGAGUCCUCAAGUCUUGAGGCUAAAGAUCUAAACGAGAGGGAGUUUGAAUCAUUGAGAUGUGUGAGAGGGAGGAGAGGCGGCAGAGAGUAAGAGGGAGAAGCGGCACGGAGAGUGAAAUUGUGAGAGGGAGUUGCAGCCAAGAAAAUAAAAAGGAGGAAGAAUAGACUAGAACAUCAGGUCAAGAGUUUUAAUUUGACUAAAACUAAUUUAUAAUGAUAUUUAUUUAUAUUAAUUAUAUCAUGUGGGGGAUGGGAGGGUCCCCGCACCGCUGUUGCCAUCCCUACUUAGACAUAUCUUGAAAGAUCACCUGGCAGUUGUGCAAUUGAUGCAUUGACUCUUGCUAUUCAGUUUCUUUCGAGAUCAAGCUUAUUUGAAGCAAGCUAAAGCAUUAUUUUUCAUUUUCAUCUGUCUAAUUGUAUUUCCUCUUUAGCAAAAUAUUCUUUAAGAUUUCAGUGCCAAAUUAAUGCCUUUCAGGGAAAUAGUUACAGGUUUUUACAAGCCUUUCUAUAUUUUACCUUGUGCCAGUAGUUGGUGAUGAGUGUCGUCCGUCUUUGUUCCUUUAACAAGGACUUUUUUUGAAGUAAUGAGUAAGAUAAAAAUAUUUAUAGGUAGCACAAAAAUGUUCAGUGGAUUCAACUGUAGUGUCUUCUUGUAAUAGAAAUAUAUAAAUAUUUGGCAAUGUUUCAAAUCAAGAGAAACGAUUGUGAUAUGGACAAUCAGUUGUGUAGAGGUGUCAAAAAAUUGGGAAAAUCUUUGGGGAAAUACUUAUUGGAGUAUCCAGUGGCACCAGAAAAUCCAAAAUAUUUCAGAAUCGCAGUUUUGAGUGAUUAGAUAUCUUCAAGUUCUCCUCCAUCUGACAAAGAACAAAAGUUUGAAAAUCCAUUUUGAUUUCUUUUUCCUCACGUUUUAAGUUACUAGGCAUGCUAUUCUGGAGUUAUAGGAUUAAUUUUUCUAGAUUGGCUUCUUUCAGUUACUUUUUUGCUACUUUAACAAAAUUGCUACUUCCAGCUUCAAAGGAACGAUUGGAUAGAAAGGUUUUUUGGCGGAAACCUGGUUGCUGAAAAGCUGGAUAGCUUGUUAGUCCUCGUAUUUGGACACCUUAAAUCCUCGUAUGAAAAUGGCCGUUUGGAGCAAGUAAGUUUUCUGUUAGGCUCGCUUUAUUAGGUGUUGUCUGUAUGGUUUUCUUGAUUUUUCAAUGUUUGCCAAAUGGUUUAGGUUUUUGACACACUCCUCCAGUCAUUUCACAAAACAGUCUUGACAGCAUACAAAUCAAAAUUUGCCCAGGUAUUUUUCUUCUGUUAGUCAUAUUGGUGAAGAAUUUCAACCAUAGCUUGAGUAUCUUUUUUUUGUUCAUAUUUAUUCUUUUUAUUCUACUUUCCCAGUUUGGUUAUGAAUGUUCUCAGCUUUGUUGAAUAAGAUUUUCAGCCAUUUGUUACCAUAUGCCCACUAAACCGUAUCAUAUUUUGCAGUUUGUGAUGUUCUAUGCGUGUUCGUUAGAUCCUGAUAAUUGCGGAACAAACUUUGCAGUUACCCUUGUAAAUAUAUUUGAGGGCAGUUCUUACACGGAAUGGAGGUAGAAUUAAUAGUUUGUUCUUUGUAUUCUUUUGUAAUAUGAAUAUGUUCAUGGUUCGAGUUGGAAUCUGUGAAAUACACUUUCAUGUGGAGGAAGUCAGUGCAUUUGUUUAAUUUUAUAUUGAUAUGAUCUGUCAAUAAUUUUCUUUUUGGGACAUUCCCUAGCAAUUUCAGUUUGGUUUAUUUAUUUGUCUACACGUUACUUGUGAAGGUUCUGAAAACUUUUCCUUGAUUUUAUUGCAGAAUGAGCGCUGUUGCGUAUCUUGCCAGUUACUUGUCUCGUGCAAAGUUUGUCUCUGCCUCUUUUGUUAUCAGUGUCUUGGAAAGGUUGUUAAAACAGCUACAUGCUCGUCAAAUAAUUUCUAGCAUUGGAUGCACUUGUUUGCCGUUCUUUUCAAUUACUUUUUCAAGAAGGACGAUCAUAAUAGGAAAGAUUUACAAGCUAUUUUGUUCUUUUAGUUUUUAUUAUAUAUAUUCUUUUUGUGUUGUUUCAGACUUGUAAAUUGGUGUUCUGAUUACUGCAAGAAUCAUCAUGGUGACAGCAAUCCCAAAGCUCAUCAAGUUUUUUAUGCUGGUUGUCAGGUUUGUAGUGUUGAGCUUCCAGAAUUAAAGAGUAAUUACUGCCAAUGUUUCUUGGUGUCUCAUGGUUUCAGAAAGGGACUUAGGAUGUUAUUAAGUGAAGAAUCUUUCAGAAUUCUUGGAGAACAAAAUGACAAUGGAGCUUUGAUAAUUUGAUAUGUUGAGUCACUAGUUGGCAUUCAUAGGUGACCUAACAAUAUAAAUAAAUAUCUUAGUCUAGAGUCCAAAAUUUUCUUUUCACAUCCAUGCAAUUUUUUUGGGUAUAAUUUUCUGCUUGUGAUUGAGUACAAGGGGAAAGGACUUCCAUUAUGCUUAUACAUCAUGUUCUGAUUGGCAAUGUAGGAUCAUAUGAGUUCAAUGUUAUUGUUUAUACCAACUUUGAAGCAUGGGGUAAAACAAAAAAAAAAGAAGCUCCAAGCAUCACCUAUGACAUGGUCUGGUUAUGGGCCCAUUUUGCUUUUACUUAAUUAAUGCAUUUAUCAUCUUUAAAGAAACAAAGUUGAUAGUGUGCUUUUCUGGCUUUCAUUUUAAUUGGGUAGAGUUCUAUCUGUUCACAUCACUGAUGGUACUGCAGGCCAUUAUGUAUGUCCUUUGCUUCCGUAUGAGAUCAAUAGUGGCUAUCCCUCGACUCAGAUCACAACUAUUUCUUCUGCGGAUAGAUGAUAUUUUGAGGCAUCCGCUUAACCCAUUGAAGGUGAAACGCUUGAAUUUAACUUUCAACAAAGACUCGUACUAUUUAUGAAUUUCAUUGGCUCUCUCUACCCCCUCCCAUGUUUUGUUUGUCAGCUCCAACAUCAUUGAUUCGUUGUAGUAAAUUAUCAGUCCUCGGCUACCCUUUGUUAACAGGUUUGUCUGCCAUCAAUAGUUGAAGAGUUUCUUCGGGUGGCCAAAUCGUCUCAUUUGUUUAAUGUGCCUCAGAACUUUGUUUCUGAUGGCCUACUGGAAUCAGAACUUUCGAUGACCUUUGGUGGUUUAGAAAGGCUCGACAUGUUUUUCCCAUUUGAUCCAUGUUUGCUGAAGAAAUCUGAUAGGUUUGUCUUUCUUUUAUUGAUACUUCGAAGUUCCACCUAUAUCAUUUGUUAGUUUUAUGACUACAAAUUAUUUGUUCAUGUAUUGUAUGCUUUUCUUAGAAAGAUAUCCUAUAUUACAUUAAAAUAUUCGAUUCCUCAAACGUUAACUGUUCUUGCUGCCGCCUCAUUUUAUUGAAGAUUUAUCCGGCCAAACUUUGUGUACUGGUCGAUGGUCAGAAGUACUUACGAAGAAGAAGAUGAUGAUGAUGAUGAUGAUGACGAUGAAGAAGGGAACAGUGAUGAAGAUGUUGCUGAAGUUAGCAAUGCUAGUAAUCGGGUGAGAAUGGUUGAUGAUGUUGGUAGGAGUAUUGAUGAGGAAGAUUCUGAUAUUGAUGAAGAUUUUGAGUAUUCUCUAAACAGAAUGUCUAUAACGCCUAAAAAUCCAACCGCCUUUUGGUUAGGAGGUAAAUUAAGGGACAGUGUGCAGAUGCCCUCCAGAAUCAGACCGUCUACAAGUCCAGAGUCCUUGUGAUACCCUGUUUUGCUUGCUCAAGAAUCUUGAGGUCAUAAUAGCGGAAGAAUACAAUGAUAUCAAUUUUGCUAGAGGCGUGACUGCGCUUCACUUGGCCAGCCGGGAUCCGCCUUUUGUUGCUGUAUACAUCCUUGUACCCACCACCGCCCAAGGGAUCAGCCAGUGUGGGAACAUGUGGCUGGCUUACUGAGGUUUCUGUAGCCAUUACAGAAAUUGAUUGUAAUUUAGCGGUCUAUUUACUAGUAUAAGAAAUUGAUUGUAAUGUCGUGAAAUGUACUUGGAAAAAAAUCACCAUUAAUUAAUUAAUCGUAAUAUCGGCCGUCGGCCAAAAAUUUACGACUUUUAAGGCAAUAGGUUGGGCGGGGUAUUUCAUUCUCAGUUUACGCUGGUCUGGCAAUGAAAUUCCUUUUUGGCUUGAAGAAUGCAAUCUUGUGGCGAAAAUGAAGGCCUAGUUUGGGAUUGCGAUUUUUUGUCGAAAAAUUACGUCAUUUUUCUUGAUCACAUUUUACUAUUAUUUUUUUCCCUUAUAUACAACAAAUCGAUACAGUAAUUUUUUCAUGAAAAAUUAUGAAAAAUACAAUCUAAACACAACCGAAAUUUUCCUUCUGAACUAAGAAACUCUGAAGCAUGGUAAACGUACGGAUGCACCGUGCGGGAAGAUUUUGCUUUGUUUUUCUUUUCACCGUUCCUGAGUGAGAGUUAGAAAUCAUCCUUCAUGGCAACAGAGACCUGAAAAGCUGGUGAUAGAGAUAAUCGGUGGACUCCUGACAAUAUAUGAUUUGGUCGGUAAUGCACAACAAAGACAUGUAAAAGUAGUGUUUUUAUAACACAUCUGCCUGAAAAAUUACAAGGAAGCUGCUUGUUUGACGUAUUUCUAACCUCGCAUAUCAUGCGAUAUAAAGUCAUUUUAUGACAAUAUGUGAUUCUGGCGCUCAAAAAAAGCAAAAAGGAAACAAAACAAAAAAAAAAGUGAUUUUGGCUACUUUGCUAUGAAAGGAAGAGUAUCGAGGAACCAUAUCCACGUCAACCGCCUGGUAAUGGCUGUAACACACCAUAUACAAUGAACAUUUGAGUAUUUUAGCAUCAGGGACCAUGACCAAAUCUACCGCCUGGUAAGGGCAGCAACACCAUUUAUAACCAAGAGUGACCAUUCAAUUUGCUUCGUUCUCCAGUAAUAUACGAUAGUAUUUGCAAAGGAUUCAGCUAUAGGAUCUACAACUAACCUGUAAAAGCAACAGAAUAUCAACUUGGCCUGCUGGGGGCUUCGACCAUGCAAAAUUUUUUUUUGGGGUGUAAAGUGGGAGGUCUUGCACUCAGAACUCCCUCCUCAUACCACCCGACCCCAUCCCUCCCCUGGAUUAUGUAUGCAAGGUACCUGUACAAUUACAGAAGCAUAAAUUCUAUAUGUGAUUCGGGUUCUUUUUGCAACUCCUCGGAAGUCCCUUUCUUCUUUUGACAGACGAUUUAUAAUCUCCUUCCCAGCUCUGACUUGAAUUAUCACUGCCGCCUGAACGCAACACAUGCCAGUUAGCACAAUAAACCAAAGAAUAGACAUCAAGAGGACAACCGGAGCCUAAAUGCCUUCAACCUCAAUUUAUGGUCAAUCCUGAUUGUUAUAAUUCGUUUAAAACAGUAACCUUACUUAGGCAAGUUUUUUCCUUUGGAAAAAAAGUCAAAAGAGUCAUAAUCCAAAAUUCAGUUCUCCUUAAGCCAAUAAUUCCUUCUCUAUUCUACUAAAACCUAAUGAAAUUUGGGUAAAGACAUCAACUUAUGGGCUCAUUCUCUCACGCUGGACUUCCUGCAUGCCUCUUCCAGCGCUCAGACUACCAAUGUUAGGCAAAACAAGCCCUCCACAAUUUGUGUGCUCCCAGAAACCUUCAUUAAGUUAAAUCUCCAUAAAUUUUUUACAAAAAUCUACUGUAAAUUUACUUUGCACAAGAAGAGCUAUUUUCCGUGUUUGCAGAUGUGCUAUAGAAAGUUUUUUUCUCUGUGAAUCACAUAUUUAUUAAUUAUCAGUUUUUGUAACCUCCACAACAAAAAUCAUGGCCUCGCCAAAUUUAAUAAAUCAUGGUAGUGCGCUCUUCACAGUCUAUCCUGUAAAAUUCACAAUUACUCCAUAAGCACAACAGUACAACUAUAUAUAUGAUCAGGAACUACGGAUUUACUAGGGAAUUUGUCAAGACUUACUUUCGGGGCUUUCCUUGGAUGAUCUGUCUUUGUUCUCCAAAUCCUUGGUGCAAUUGUAUCCAGAUCGCUUAGUAGAUAUUGUCACUACUCCAUCUUCCACCUUCUCUUCAGGCACGCUGCAGCUUCCAUUGAAAGGCUUCAUAUAACAAAACCUAUAAAAGUGGUUCCAUGAUACAAGAAACAAGUCACUUGAAUGCAUUGCAUUCUUUCAUACAUUACCUCCUCUAUCUCCAUUCAAAUCUAUAUUAACAGUUAUGCGAACUGAGCAUGAAGAAGCUUUGGAUUAUGAAUGCUAGAAACAAAGUACCAUUUAAGGCUUUUGUUCUAUCACAUUCAGGUAUAUUGAUAUGUCACAAGCCCAAUAAUCAUCUGAAAAUAAUCCAACAGACGCCUCUAGACUAGAGUGCAAAAACUGAUGUUAAUUCCAAAUGUGCCAGAAGCAUAAGUACCAGUCAGGGGGCAAUGUCUUGCUAUUGAACCCAGCACUUAACCUUCUCCACUUUCUGCAUUUGUCACAUUGCACCCAUUCGUGAUCAGGUUUGUGCAGGGGACCACCCUUUUCCUGUAAAAAGGAACAUAACCCUUUUCAAAACAGGCAAUAUGGGUAAGAAAAUACAUUCAUGCACCUGGAUCACAUGGAGAGAAGCUUUGAUUGAUUGAACUAUGUUCAUGAGAACUUGAAUGUUCUAAAUGGGCAGCUAGAUUGCUUAUUAAAGAACAUGAGCAAUCACUUUUUCCUUUUUGAAAAGGAAAAGAGCUUCAUGUGUAUGAAAUAUAUUCUCAUAUCAGUUAUCAAUGGAAAAUAUAAAUUUUUAGAGAUGUCUACAUAAUGAAGCCAAGAAAAAAUACAGCUACAAUGUCCAGUUAAGAUUACCAGUCGGUGUCUGACAGUCAAACUAAAGCAGGUAUUUUACUGAAAAAGGAAAGAUUAAAAAGGAAAUUAACUAAAAAAAAAUAAAAGGCAAGCAAAAAGAUAAAAAUUGCAAUCAUUUCUCACUGUGUCACAAACUAACUCUCUCUCUCUCUCUCACACACACACAUGCACAGGUUAUCUGUGAAAAAAUCUACCCUCAUAUCAAAACUUUUACUAUGAAAUUCAGAAUUUUAAAAGUUAAUUGGCUCCUCAAAGCAACUAUAAGUGUUUAAAGUUUCAUUCUCCUCCGACAACUUAGUAUCUUUUACAAAAGUAUUAAUGCCUUGAGAGAGCAUAAAUUAGUCCAUCUGUCAUUUAUUUUGCAAUAACUAGGUCAUGCACUAGAACCUUCCAGUGAACAUACAUACAUGCAACUUACUUUAUGUCUGUCCCUAUUUAUCACUCAACAAAAGCACCAUCUGAGUUGUAAACAACAUGCAUUGCAUCCAAAGGAUCAGCUAAUAAGUCAUGAGUCACGACAUUACCACUUGCAGUUUAUUGACAUAUUUGUCCAAGUAGUCAUCUGUUUUUAUAGCCAACCAUUUCUCCAGUUCUGCAUAAGCUUCACAGUCCUGGAAUCCUUGCUUGUUAUUGUGCACCCAAAUAUGACCAUUAUCAUCCUUCUGCAUCAAGGAAGUAGAUGGGUCAUAGAAUAAAUAAACCAUUUCGUUGUAUAUGUUAUGAGAUUUGGCUCAGAGAAUAUGCAGAGCUAGCUGAGGGACAAAUGCUUUUGACCAGGCUCCCAUUUGUUGGACAGAAAAUACUCCCACGAAGACACAAUUCAAUUACUGUUGAAUCAAGCACCAAAACAUUGCCAUGCAGAAUAUUUUCCUAAGAGGGCCAUUUUUGGGAAAACUGAAAAACAAUAGCAGUUCACCAAUGCAGUCAAAGACAUUUAAGUCAGUUGCAGUACCCGGAAGUUUUGUUUCUAAUUUUGCCAGCAGACCACCUAGCAUUCUCGCUCAUAUAUCACAGGAAACUAUUGGGAAGAUAGAGUUUGUUGAUAUCAAAAAAUUGUGUUUCCAGAAAAAGAAACCUCUUCAACUGUUGGCCAUUCCAAACUUCAGCAUACAGUGCCUAAUUUCACCUUACAUAAGGAAGACUCUGCCAUAUCCCACUUGUUAACUUGAUACGACCAUUGAACACUAAGACCUUAAACAAACAGGUUUGAUCACAAACAGGAAUAUAAAGAAAGCAAAAAGUAUUUAACUUCACAAAAAUAUUCUUUACAAUAUAAAUUAAAUAAGCCAAUAAAAUAGUCUGUUGGAGGCUUAGAGCACAACCAGCUCAGCAAUAUAGAAAAGAGAUGUCCUUGACACAAGCAAAAGGCUUCUUCUCUUCUAUUAGCUGCUAACACACAACCCCCAAACAAUUUCUGCACUCUACCAAUCCAUGUCUCAGUUGUAACUAGCCACAUCAUAAAGAGCUUAUGGAAUUAGAGUAACCAAUUUGCAUUUCUUUAUACCUUCAUCUGUUCCUUUCCAGCCAGUAAUCACCACCACAGGCAUCAAAAUAAUUGCAAAGACAACUGCUUGUCUAUCUAUUCAUGUUUUUGACAUGAACAUUGUUAGAGCCUACAUAACAGAAAAAUUACUAACAUGGUACAUAUACUUAUUUCUAUUGGGAAGGACAAGCUCAAGGAAAAUAAAUUUUCAGAUAUCAGGCACAGGAUCUACUACAUCAAUUUGGAUGAGAAAUAAACACAGCCACAUAUGCUAAAACACCGGAGUUUUAAGUAUAAAGUGUUUGUAAAGGAAAAUUUGUUGGUGUACAAAAGAGUAUGGUAAAUUAACUCAUUAUGGACAUGUCAAUUACUGCUGCUUUGAAACCAUUUCAUAAGAAACAUUGCCUUGGGAUUCUAGGUGUGCGCACAUAAAUAUCAGCAAGUAUCCAGGCUUUUAGAACUCUUCAAGUAUUUAUCUCACUAUAUUUCUCCCUUUUCGUUUUGAAAUUGGAGGAUGAUCCUACUUGAACUCAUAAAAUUGACCAGUAUAAGUAUCUAUACCAAGAAGGAUGCAUGAAAGCACCAAAGCCUAGUUAGAGCUUGCAGCUCCUUCUAGGAUGCGCAAGAGUGAUUGACUUCUCUCACUAGUAGGACAAAAACCAAGGUAUAUCUACCGCUUUAUCUCCAGGAAAAACAAACCCAAAAAAAGAAGCUGCUAUCAAGAAUAUUCCCGCCCCCCAAAAAAAAGGAGUACAGAAAAACCCAAUCUCAUGUCCAAGCCUUACAAAAGAGCCACCGACAUAUUCUAAUUCUACCAACUAACAAUACUUAAGGAUGAUUUGCAGUGACUGAAAAAGGCCAAUGCCCUUAGUAUUCAUCUCUGCAGGAAAGUAAUCCAAAAAUCAGUUCCAAAAACACACACAUGCUGACAAAUUGAAAACAUAAGAAUGGAAUCUGUACCAUUAAAUCAGUCAGAUCGACAACCCCAAUAAUGCCCCGACCAGCAUCGCCAUUAUGAAUCAUGCUACCAACUCUUUUGUAAGCCUGUAAGAUAAAGAACCAAAACAAAUGGAAAGAUCAAGACAAGGCUGAUCAAAUGCUUAAAAAGAAUUCUAAGGGAAAAAAGCAUAUGUUUGAAAAGGAUAAUUUUGAAAAGCAAGCUUCCAGAUGGGAAAAGGGUCUGAUCUACGAUAAUUAUCUCAUGCAUUAAAGUUUCAAAACCAGGAAGGCUCAAAAUUUGUUUGGUAGCCAUCAAACUGGAAAUUGAACAAUCUCAGUUAACCAUUUCUAAGAACUAAGUACCAUUUAAAAAAGUGCAUAGAAACUAGAUGUAGUUAAUAAGUCAACACACUGAUGCUAAUCCACCAGCAAAGUUUAUACAUUAGUGUUCAGACUAAUAAUUCCAGGCACUUCACUCAAAGAAAGUGUUAAAAUCACAGUCACAUACAUCAAAAGGUUGACAUCCAGUAAACACUCCCCCCAAAAAAAAAAAUGGUCCAGAUCCAGGACAAAGAUAAUCUCCCUCUACCCCCUAUUUUAAAGCUAUUGACUCAAAAACUAAAACCUAUUUACCAUGGACAUGCUAAUAUUUCAAGCUUGGCGCUUUUGGAGGAUAAAAAGACCCAGAAGGCGGUAAAGUAAUUCCGUCAUCAAGUUCUUGUCAUUCAACCAUAGUGUUCUAUUUCAAGUCAUUCCUUCAAGUUUAAGAUGUUAUGUAAGACAGAAUACAGCAAGUUAGCCACUAACUAGUUUUAGGAGCAUUUUUGUAACCACACAGAGAACCAAAAAUGAGAUGAAGGAUUAAAAAUAGUAAAGGAGAAAUAACUUAAAAGCACUAUUAAUUUCUUCCAUCCAGUCCAUAGACACCCCCGUCCCAGAAGGCCCCUUUCUGCUCCUAUCAAAUUGAAAAGACAAAUUUUUUGGAAAUGAUCACCGAAGAAUUAUUAAUGUUAAGUUUCUGUAGGAUUCUGCAUAGACUUUCAUCCAGCCAGCAGUUCUCUAACAAUGCCAUAUCAAUCAGUUGGAGUUCUAUAGAUAUUAAGUGUAGCAAAUCCUGAUAUAGCUCUGUAUCAUUGUUCUCCAGACAUUUUGGGCAAUUCUUCCAUCCACUAAACUUUGCCAAAUUAAGGAGUCAAACAAUCGCAAAAAACAAGCCUCCAUGAUGACAUGGGAGCUCUUCUACUUAGAAAGAGUCAAUAGUCUUGAAUAAGUCUUGACAAAGGGAAGAAAUUAUCAUCUGCAUACAGAUACAAACUGCACUCCAGUGCUAUUUAUAGCAUGAAUUAUACAACUAGAAAUGAUCCUUAUGUGGUCAAUUAUAUCUUAGAAGCUAACAGCAAUCUGCAACCCAUCACCCUACAAGGAUGUUUAAUGAUAGAAACUUCAAACUCCUACAUGACCAAUAUUGUCUAAGAUCAAGUAAAAGGAUGGCCAGUGAAUGUUUGUCAACUCAAUGUCUUGCAAGACUAAGCUUACUCUAUAAAUAUAAAAAUAAGAAACCAACCUCAAUCAGACGCCCAUGCCAAUACAAGAAAAUUCCACAAUUUGCCUGCUCCCAUUCCAGUUGACAGCGGCCAAGAAUCAGCCGAACUGGUUUUCCCAUAAUAACACCCUCAUUUACUACAGUUUUAUGCAGUGACUUGGCUAAAGGACGAGUUCUAAUCUAUUAAAAGAAUCAAAUUACAGAAAUUAAUAUCCUAAAGCAGCAUGAAAAAAGCACUUAAUGACAAAUCAAGUAACUCUAUAAAUAAAGUUACUACAAGUGCUCCUUGGACAUAGAUCUUCAUUCGUGGAUCAAAGAAGAUGACUUCCAGAUAAGAUUUUAGAGAAUAAUCCAAAGGCACCUGAAGCACAAGGAAACCACAAACUUUGUUAACAAAAUUGGUUAAUGCCACACAAGAAACAUAAAGAAUAUGCCUUACUGUUUCAGACAUUUGGCCUGGGCGAGAUCUGACACGUUUAGAAUGAAUAAGGAUGUCACCUUGAUGGAAUGAACUCCCGCCAAUCAUUCCAGUUUCCAAACACAAGCUAUAAUCUGAUCCCCACUGAUCUAAAUUCCAAAUGUAUAUUUGUGUUCCAGUACCUCUUUCACUAAAGAGACCAGCCUUUUCUCCUAUUAGAUACUUAUUAAAUGGAGAAAACUCUCUAAUUGCUUUCAGAUUGUUUUUUGCAGAAGCCUCAUUUUGGACAUUGGAAUCAAUUUCCAUAAAUUGACCGACUCUGUGGUAGCUGACAAUGGGGAUCUCCAAAUUCUAUGACACAAGACAGAGUGAUAUAUCAGCGUUAAACUCCAAGAUCACAACAAAAAACCAACCAAGUAAACCAUGAUAUAAUCAACUGCAUACAUCCUUUCCAUCAUUUAGUGACUGGGAUAGAAAAGCAACCGAACGAGAGCUCGCAGCCUGAGUAAGAACCAAAGCAUCCUUCCCAAUUCUCAUUGCCCCAGUCUGGACCAAAGUGAAAAAAUGUAUUCCAUGUCCAAUAAGGAAAAGUUAAGAAUCAGAACAAGCAUGCAACACUGAUUCUAGACAGAAGAUAUUUGAAAUAUGACAGCUGUUCAUUAGCUUCAGAGGAUAUAUACAACAUGUAAAGCUACGAGACAUCAGGAUAGAAAAAAAGAUGAAUACUACCAGCAUAUCAGUUUCAUCAAAGGAAAGGAGAAUAUAUUCAAAUGUUAAAACUUUGGCAACCCAUGUUGUGGAAACAAAAACUGUAUUUCUUCUACAAGCAGAUCUGUUUUUCUUUCUUUUUCUGAAAAUUAGUUUACAAGCUUGAGCUACAUAAGUUCAUUACCAGCAUUAGUCUUGCAAAUAAAUGAGUUGAUAUUUCCAUGUUAGAACAAGCUCAUUCGCCAGAUAAGAAGUCAAAAGAUCAUGUUUAUUUGGAAAGGGAAAGAAAAUGUUGGAUGCUUCCAUUGUUUACACAAAUAAAUUUAGAAUGAGAACCUCAGAGAGAGAGAGAGAGACUGCAGGCGAUAAGCCUAAGAAACUUGACACAGCUUGAGAAGUAAUCCUUCAAAUGCGAAGCCUCCAACUUAGUAAAGAACAAAGAGGCAGAAAGUAGAUACAAUGUAAUAAACAGAGGUUGGCAAAAGAACACCUCACAUUUUCUAUAUAUAUAUAUAGAGAGAGACACAUACACACCCUAAAAAGCAUUACAUUAGUGAAAAAAAAAAAAGUAUAUGACAAUUUGUAAUUAAUUCAACCCAAAGAAAAUCAAUAUUUCGCUUGUAUAUCUGAUGAAAAAGUCUUUGAACAGCAUAGUGUUCAAGUCUUCAAAAAUGGGAGAAGGUAAGCUUAAAACACAUAAUGAAUAUACUACUAAUGAGUAAAAAUGAUCUCAUUGAACCCCCAAAACUUCCAUACUAACUUAACUAACUUUACUAUGACAAUGAAUAGGGAUGUUCCAGCACUAAUCCCGUAGAAACAUGGCAGUUUCUUCAUAAAUAGAAUUUCCUUAAGUGCAUUGCAAGGCCACAAACCAUGGUUGUCUGGUAUGUUGUUUACAAUCAAGUUAGGGAAGAAAAAGGGACAAAACAGCAAUUCCCUGAACCCCAGCUUGUCUGAUGAACACAGUAAAUUACAAAAGAUUUUACAUCCCUCCUAUGAUCACUGAUGGAAAAUAUAAAUAUGGGCUUAAAUGAACAAUUUAGCCACAAUAUAAAAAAACAGGAGACAAAAAAAGAGCCAAAAAAUCAGUAGCAAUUUCAUACUUGUGCAAUAUGUAUAGCUCAUUAUCAGCUUUGUCUCUGGAAGAAAAGAUUCACACGUCCUCUAGAUACUUUUGUUCACCAAGACUGCAUAUGAAAGUAGCUCUUAAUUAAGAAAUGGUUUCAAAAGCAUACCUUAAAACCAAUCCCAAAUCUGCCAAUAUGAUCAGGAUCAUCAGCCUCAGGUUGCUUAUGCCCAAAAGAAAUCAUUCUCACAAUCUCCUGAUGAGUCAUCCCAUGGCCAUCAUCUAUUAUUGACAGCAUUGGAAUGUCUUUGCCGGCUGGUUUGUAAUACACCAUUUCCAUAGAAAUUUGCAAUCUAUAGCCACAUGAGACAAGAACAAGAAGUCUUAUCAGCAUAACAACAGACUGAAAUAUCUAUACAUCACAACAGGAUAAAUCUAAAGUUACGACAAAAUACAAGAGAAAGAUUUCCUGUACAAUAAGAAAAUAAAUUACAAUAGAACAAGUUACCGACUUGGUUGCUUUGGCAUCUCUGGAAUUGUCAACAAACUCAGCAAUUGCACCAAAAAUCCAGCUGGAAUGAACUUGACCAAGGGUUUUCAAAUAACUGGGAUCUACUUGCACAUAAUUUCUACCCAAGGAACCAUGGGGAUCCACUACAUUUUCAGGUUUACUGCUAACUUUAACCUUAUAUUGAGCUUGGCAUCCAUCAGCAUCCGAAAGCUUAUUCUCGGGAGAUAUACUAUCCUCAAUACAGUUAGAGAUUGAUACAGCAUCCUCACCCAACGAAGAUUCAAAUCUACUUUGCAUGCAACCUUUUGCUGAUUGCACAACUCUAUGUGGUUUAGCAUUCAAAAGAAUAUUUUUUUGCUCGGACAAGAUCCCAGCUGCAAUUAUGUGAAUCCAAGCACAAUAAACAAAACUAGCUUAAUUACAUUUCAAAAGAUCACUUAAGCAGGCAAGAGAAGAACAAAGCACAUCAAAGAUAAUUUCAGCAUGCUGCUUGCCCCAAGAACAAACAGCAAUCAGAUAAUUGCAGCACAAAAAUAAUAACACAGAAGCCAUAUGAAACAAAUGCCAUACAAACUACAGAGAAGGGAACAAAGCACAUCAAAGGUAAGCAACAUCCUUGCCCAAAGAGGUGUAGGAGUAACUCACCCAGUCUCUCUUGUUUUAGACAGUCCUGUAAACAAUUCCUUCUCUCCUCCUUGUAUAAAACGCGGACAUGGCUUAAGUCUGAGCCUUCACAGGGAGGAAUUAUGUAGAAUUCAAAGCUAUCGAGCUUUCCUACAGCAACCUUCAAAAUCAUUCCAGAAGCAAAUUAGGGACACAAAAGAGUGCACUAUCUUACUAAUUAAGCAAAUAAAAAUAUAGAGUAAAUAUAUAGUGCAAUACAAAAAUAACUCAUUCACAUUAUUUUGUUGAAACAAAUUUGGUUCUUAGUUUAUUUAUGGGGAACAUUCCAGGUUUCUCAUAAACUCUCCUGCAUAAUAUUGUUUAUCUAUUUUCUUCUUGUCUCACCAUGUCAGUUAUCCUUACAAAACACCACCAUGCUAAACAAAUAAAUAUCCCUGUGUCUUCCUUCCCACAUACAUUUCAAUUAACUCGAAGCAAAGCAAAAAGCAUCUUGUCUAAAGGCAGGAAGCAAAUUUUACAAUUAAUAAAGCUAACCAUGUCUUGACAGUUAGACUUAAAGGGCAGAUGGAACAUUAGAAAAAAAAUGGAACAUGAAGACACAGAAAAACAAUUGCAUGGUGAUUAUGAAUGGAUAUUCACAUAGUCAACUCUCAUGUUCUGCAACUACGAGCUUUUCUCAAUUACCUAGACCUAUGGAGGGAAUGAAAAGAUCGUCUAAAGAUACUUAAACAUUUGAGAACACUGAAGCUCUCCUCUCUUUUGGAAAAGUUAAGGCCAGGCUAACUUAAAGGAUCAGUUAAACAAACAAUAGAAGAAAAUGCCAAGACUUUCCAGUAGCAUAUUAUACCUUUUUAUAUGUCUGAAGAAAAUUCAAGAACCUAACCCACUCUAUUUCCUGUUGAGAGUUUUCAGAGGCGCGAUACAAGCUGCAACAAGGUAACCCAUGAGGAAUAUGAGCUUUUUCUGGCCUAAUUAUGUGUGAUAUGCUCCAAUAAGUAGGCCUGUUAAAAUCAUAGAUAACAGGUGUCAAAAUCUGCAACUGGUGGUUAAUAACUUCCACAGAGAAACAGCACAUAGAAAACUGAGACCCUUGUAUACUUCAAAAAGCUAAAGAAACAAAAUCAAUUGGAGAAAUAAGAGCUCUGGCAGUAGAUUAUCUCAGUGGAUAAUGCAUUCAAGAAACCAAAAGACAUUCAUGACAAAAGAACACAAAUGCAUCCUCCCUUUCCAGUUUUUUACUCGGAAGGAAAUAAAGUUCCUGUCUCAACUGAUUGGUUGAUAAUCUCAACAUAUUAAUUAGUUGCCACAAAUAGACAGAAACACUUCCCUGUUUUUUAUAAGCAUUCUUUGGACAAAAGUUGGUACAAACAAUUAGAACACAACCAAAUGCAUGUCAAUCUUGGUUCUGAGAGGAACAAGAUCAUGCAAGUAGCAUACUGUACAAGACCAGUAGAUAUAUUGUCAAGAAAGGCAUGCAUACAUCUUGGAAGGAGGACUGAAGCAUUGUGUCCGACAGAUGGGUUUAUGAUCCUUUGUCAGCAGAACAUAGCAAUUAAUAUCACCUGCAAGAGUUUGUCAGCAUAUUGGAUUCAAAGAGGGGUGAAGAGCAGCAACAGAUAUUCAAUAUCUACUGGGAUCAAUCACAAAAAGAUAUUAGAUCCAAAAUUGACUAACAAAAUAAAAGUUACUUUCCCGGAAAAACUCAAUGAAACUCAAGGCCUACCUUACCUUUCAUGUUUAAAAAGUAUUACUUAGAAAGAAGUUCAACCUACACUUUCAGAAUGGAUGUCUCAAAAGUCCAGCAAUCAUACACGAAGAAGUCUCACUUUCAAUAAUUAAAGAGAAAUUACCUAUACUAGUUUCCAUUUCAGAAUUGAUAAGCUUUCAAAAUUUAGAUAUUCUAUGAGAAAGACAUUGUUAAGGAUAAAUCCCAAACAAAUAGGUGCAAAUUUAUGGCGUAACUUUUUUUUUCUUUCGAUUUAUGUAGAUGCUAGGAUAUACUAAUGUUUCUAGUACUUAAAGCACCAUUGCCACAAAAAGUAAACUCUCCACCACAAAAAAAAAAGUAAAAGAAAACAAAUUCUAGUAUCAGGUAAUGAGUAUCCUUCGAAAUUCUUUAGUAAAAGUAUGAGAUAUAUAUGCUAAAAUGAUUCUUGGGAUUUAAUGAUCCUAAAAGCAUAAAAAUUAAGACUUAAUAAUUGUUUUCCCUACUUAUUUUUGUUUUUCUCAUCAAUGAGGUCAAUUAUAAACUGUUGACUUCACCAGAAAAACAACUGGUUUCAUAGAGGAUUUACUUUUACCACAAAAAAAUGUAAUUUCUGUUUCUGUAAAUGUAAUGACUAACAGUGCUACUAACUAGAAUGGAUCCAAACAAAAGGCUCUCCCAUAAAGUUCAAUAACAUUCCUGAAGUUGAUAUUCUAGACUCUGUUAAGCAUGGUCAAGGAUGAAUUAUUCACAACAUCAUACAUAUGAAAUCUGUUUUGUUCUCAUGUUCAGCAACUAUAGCAGUAUUAUUUAGUGGUCUUUCAAGAUUCCAUUAAUGGUUUUUCAUAUGUAUCUUUGUUUGUACCACAUGCCUUUAAUUUUCUGGAAAGACAAGUGCAUUCCCUCAUCCCCAAUUUGAUUCCAUAUAAAUACCUCUCUCCUGAAGAUAGAAAGCUCCCCCCCAUAAAUGAUUACUUUAGCAAUUAUGUGAAUGAAAUACUUACCUUAUGUUGCCUUAUCGAAUCAUAUGUAAGGAUUAUUCAACAUAAACAAGUUAAUUACUCUUGCAAUCUAUUGAAGCCAAGUAAUUUUUUAGUUUUAAUCCAUGUUCAUCAGCUUUUAUUAUAGCAUGUUUUUUGGCAGUUAUGAUCAUAUUUCAUAACCAAAGGUUACAAAAUAAAUGUCAUUGCUUGCACUCCUGUUGAAGAAAAAACAAAACUCCAAAAAGAAACUACAACACAAAAUAAAAGCAACCAUUACCAAUAAAAAUAGAAAGAUCAUUCGAUGAGCAUCACUUGAAGAAAGGGGUGGUGAAAACUGACCCCAAUCAGCUUCUUCAUUUGAGUGAGGGAAACUUGAAAUAUCAAAAACAAAAUUAAAAAUAAAUUAAGAUAAAACACUUGAUUCUUAAUGACUAGACUACGUGUUGCUUUCUAUGAUAUAUAUCCCAAACUUCCUUCACCUUUGUUAUGCCACUGGAUACCUAAAUAUUUCAAAGAAACUACAUACCAAAGUGCCUAUCUCAUAGCCAAUGCAUUUUUAGCAGUCUAAUUCAUAUUUUGAUAAAUGACAACUCCUCAUUUUGCUAAUGAAGCAGAAUCAACUCAUAUUGGUAGCUUUUCCAUAAAAGUGCAAGAAUGCAAAGCAUACCUUCAUUUGCCAGCUCAUUCUUUAAGCAAAAAUCUCCCAUUGUUAAAACCUGCUUCAAGCAAUGAACAUGUCAUGGUUAGAGACAUUCAAGUUGAGAGAAACAAUUUGCAAACACACUUUCUUAGAUGUCAUCACUCUUCCCUAUCUUCAUAUAACAGACCAAUUUGCAACAGCCCAGUGAUAAACCAAUAACUCUAAAUUGACUAAUUACCGUCGCAUGCAUUAUUAAAGUGCAAAAUAUGAACAGAUACAAAGAGAAGUUAAAUCAAACAGAUUUAGAAAAGCAACUAGCAGAGAGUCCUACACUACAAACUCCAACAACUCCCCAACCCCCCCCCCCAGCCGGGGUGUGUUUGGGGGGGGGGCAUUUCAAAGAUCAACCCAUUGCAAUUUUGAGAGGUAUUUACGAUCAUCUUUGAGUUUGAUCCAAAGGUCUCGUCAAACUCUGAAAACACAUGACUACUCGAAGUUGAAGCAGAAAGAGAUGAAAACCAUCAAGAAAGGCAACCAAUGCCAACGAGCAGGGCUAUGUUCUGCAUUUCCUUGUACGAAUGAAACUUUGAACUAGAGGAGAAACAGCAUAAACCAACAAAGAAAAGCAAAACCCAAACAUUUUUACAAUGGAGCAUCAAUUAUAACCCGUGAUCCUCUAACCCACAACUGCCCUGAAGCUCAUUUUAACACUCACCAGAAACCUUUGCUUUAGCGCCCUUUUUUUUUAGCACUUACCUAUCACUUCUCUAAAACUGCAUCAACAAGGUUAACCCAAAAAAGCAUAUUUACACUUCCAAGGAUGAAUUUUCUCAAGAAAUUUAGAAAUUAAAGUUUUCGUUCAAUAAUAGCAAUACCAAAAAAAUAAUUUAAAAAAAUAUAACACAAUAAGUCAUGAGACCUGCAUUUCAGCAAAGAAAAGCAAGCAAAACUUACUUAUUUCUACAAAAAAAAAAAAAAAAAAAACACUUGCUUAUGCUAGUAAUACACGGACAAUAAAAUAAUAGUAUUGUGAGAGUCCAGUACGUUGCUGGUACCACUACUAAGCCUAUUGGGAUGGAGAACAGACAAUAAUGUUACUACUAUAAAUAGAUAAGAAGGGUUAAAAAAGCAAUAAGAUCGGGAAAAAAAAAGGUAAAAGCGAGGAAAAAGUACAAAACCAGCAAAAACUAAGACGAAGACGAAGAAUAGAAAAAAUCGUUUCGCCCCAAAAAAAAAAAAAAGGAAAGAGUUGAUACUUGAGUAAAUAGAAACCCUAGACCCAUCUUUGAACCUUAAAGGGUUAAAACCCGAGAUAGGAAAAAUAAUCAAUAUUAAGCAGUAGCAGGCUAGCAGUGACUAAAAGUGCUUUGCAUGCGUUCGUCGACCACACACGUUCAUAAACGGAAUGUCGCAACCAAAAUGGGUAAAGAAGAAGAUGGGAGAAGGUUAUUACAGCAGCGACUUUGCCUUUGAUCACGGCGACCAGCAACGGCGAUAGGCGGAGAAGCCGGGAUGGCGAGGAGUCGGAUAGAGUAAAGAGUGUGGAAACUAGAGUGAGAGAGAGAGAGAGAGAGAAGAAAACGGGGAUUGGAAAGCUUUUUGGACUUUCCACUGACAUGCAGCUAUGCAAGUCGGCUCCACAACAACAACUCGCGUAAAACAAAACGAAGGAAGAGAACUAAUGCGACGUUUAUGGGUUGGGUUGGCACAAUGAACUCUUUUUAUUAUAUUGCUAUUUCUCAUUCGUAAACAUCGUGUUCUAAUUUUUUUUUACUUCUUUAACAUCUAAUAACUAUUAAUUCAAUAAUACACAAAAUUUAACAUACUCAAAAAAUCAAAAUACAUAAAAAAUGAGAUUUUUUAUAAAUUUUCUGCUAUAUUUUUUAAUUUUCUAUUAUAUAUUACUUUUUUUAAGCUAUUAUAUUUAUUUUUUAUUGAAUUAAUAGUUAUUGGAUCUUAAGAAAGCAAAAAAGAAUUAAAACAUGAUGUUUAUGAAUGAGAAAUAGCAAUAUAAUAAAAAGUGACACAGAGAGUGACACAGGAUGUGGGACAGAAGAUCCGUUGCGAGUGAGUAGAGACCGAGACGGUAAUUUGCGAUCUGCAAAUUUGAAGUUAUUAAUUAAUUGAAAAAAGUGUCUUGCGUGCAUUGUCACGAUAAUAAUUAUGGUUAUAAAAUUAAAAUUACUAUUGAAAAGUGUUUAGAUGCAAUGACAAACGAAUAUGGACGUGUGCGUGGUAAAUUAAGUCUAAUUUAGAUGUCAUGUACCCUUUAAAUAAUAGUACUUUACUUAAUAAUAGUGGGAUUUAUCUCAUGGAAAAAUAGUAAGCGUUCAUAGUUUAUUUGAACACGUACCACUGUAAUAUAAAUUGUAUAAUAAAAUAAACAGUUUGUCUAAAGGGUGGUGCUAUUGGCACUUGGGGUUCAAUCUUAGGUUUUUUGAAAAGUAUAUAUAGUUAACUUCACAGAUUAUCAAAAUGACCCAAAACAAAAGGGAUGCAAUAAUUGUUAUGCUACUAUAUGUAUUCACGUUAGUUGUAAUUUAAAUAUAUUAACGAAUGUCUAAAAUAAACAACACAAAAUACAAUUAAGUAGUUUUUGUUUUUAUUGAAGAAGACUUCAUGUCUUACAAAAUGAAAGGGAAACAAUUGUUAUGUGACUUAUGCUCUAAUUAGUUGAUCUUGGAAACUUAUGAAUUAUAACGCGAAAAAUAUAAUAGUCCCUUUUCCACAUAAUUUAUUAGUGCUGAUAGACUAUGAGGGGGUUUAUUUUUUUUUCUCCCUCGUUAUUUUUUUUUUUUUUUUUGGAAAAUUGAGCUGCAAUGCAUUAUUCAUAAGACAACUUGCUAUAGUCGCACAUAGAUUUUGUUGAUUUUUAGUCGCUGAUUAUGAAAUUAUAUGCACUGUUCAACAACACACACAAAUUGAAACAGAAACACUAAGGAGGUAAUUAAAAAAAAUUACUAUUGAUUCUCUAGGGAAAAAAAAACUGAAACAAUAAUUUGUCAUGGAACCUCAAUCUUGGUUGUGUGAGUUCUCUACACUUUCCAUUCUUUUUUCAUUAUUGACGAUUUAAGUGGUUUAAUAAAAUUGGAGUUUAUAAACUAAAAUCUGAAAUUUGAAAUUUGAAUCUAUUAAAUUAUUGAAUUAUUAAGUAUUAAAUCUAGUACAUUUGAGUGUAUAUCACAUUCAAUGUGAAGUGAAUAGUUUAUCACUUAAUUUUGGGAAUAAAUUUUGUCUACAAAAUUCAGCACCACUUAAUUAAUUCAAAUGUUCAAUUUUUGAUUAUCAAACGAUCUGAAUAUAUUAAGAUUUGAAUCCAUUAAAUUUAAGUGUUGAAUUGGAUUAUCAAAUAUAGCACGAGGAAAUAUAUAAAAGUUUCCAUGUUUCGUCUUUUUAUUUUUGGCCUUUUAUGAGUUUCAAGAAAGAAAAUAAUGUAUAAAAAAAAAGUUAAAAAGUUCCAUGGCAUUACAUGAUUUAAAAUGUUUAUAGUUAAUUGGUGAACGAAAAUAAGAAGAUUUAAACCUUAUCUCAAAUGAGUGAAUGAGACAUGCAAUUUGCUAACGCAAUGUUAUCCAUUCUUUAUUAAAAUAGCGAGGAGUAUUUUCAAUGAUUCUAGCAUGAAAGAAGUUAAAAUUUUAUUAAGUAUUACAUGAUUUAAAAUAUUUUUGCCUUAUGAGACCACCAAUAAAAAAGCAAAAAAAUGUUCAAUAUGAAAACAAAAAGUAAUAUUUACUCUCUCAUGUUUGUUAAUAACACCAAACUUCUAUCAUCAUGAUAUUUUUGUAUCCACAAUUACUGCAUUGUUCUUAAAGUUCAAAGUCAAAGAGAUGUGCUAGUAAUAAUAUAAUAUAUAAGUGCCUAUACUAGCAUUUCAUUGUAGAUAUAAACAAUUUUAAGUUCUCAACUCGAAAAAAAAGAGAGAGAGAGAGAUUAAUUUCGAAACCCGGUUGAACCAAGGGAACCAGCCUCCUCGAUAAACCCUGCACUAGCAGUUGUACCUUUGCAACCCCUCAAACUAGUAAUAGGGUUUAAGCUUCUGAAGCCUGCCAUUUCCUGUUCUUCUUCUGUAUCUUCUUCUUCAAUUGGGAUGGAGAUAGAUUUGGGAAAGCUUCCGUUUGACCUGGAUUUUCAUCCUUCCCACCAGCUCGUCGCCGCUGGACUCAUUUCGGGAGACCUGCUCCUGUAUGUUCUAUUCUAUUAACACGCCUCUUUAUUUUUCUGUUUAUUAAAAUCGUUCAAACUCUAAAAUUUCUAAUGAAAUUGAUGGCUUAUUGUUGCAGAUAUCGGUAUGCUGCUGAUUCUACACCACAAAGGUAAAAGGAUGAAAAAAAAGGAAAAGAAUUGAAGUUUCAGUUAUUGUGCAUAUAAAUAGGCUCACCUGUACAUCCAUAAUUUCCUGCUAUUUUUUGCUUAAUUUAAAUAUAGGCAGUUGAAAGUUGGUGCUCACACUGAAUCAUGUCGAGCUGUCCGCUUUAUCAAUGAGGGUCGUGGUAAUUAUGUUAAUGUGCUUCUGCAUAAGCUAUUUGUCUAAAGCUAUCUUUUAUUCCUGUUUGAUUAUGAUGGUUGUCAAUUAGGUUUCUCCUAAUCAAAAGUUGUUUUUUUUUUUGUUUUAGCCAUUGUGACGGGUUCCCCAGAUUGUUCUAUUCUUGCAACAGAUGUUGAAACUGGAUCAGCAAUUGCUCGUCUAGAGAAUUCUCAUGGGUAGGUAUUAUAGCCGACCAUAUUUUGUAAGAUUAAAGCUAAGUUCACCUUUUGUUUGGUAUGGAUAUGGUAAUAGGGCGUUGCCGGGGCCUGUGAAUCUCAGCUUGAUUAGCUAGUUGAUUAUUAAAAGCAUUAUGCAGUUUUCAAUGUUUGCUUUCAAGUUUCAGUCACAUUGAUUUUUGAGGCUAGAAAUUUGUGUUUAACUGCAGGGCUGCUGUGAAUAGGAUAGUCAAUCUGACAGAAUCAACCGUUGCAUCCGGAGAUGAUGAUGGUUGUGUUAAGGUGAAUUUCAACUACUAAAAGUUGUAUAAACUUCCAUAUUCAAACAAUAUAAUUAAAAAAGUUCAGUUUGCUAAACACAUCAGCGUGAACAGCUAGCAUUCUCUUUAUUUUUGUAUUUUUCUUCUCUUUACUAUUUUUUUUUCUGACGGGAGCUUCUCAACUGAAUUUUAGUAAUUAAUGCUUAAUUUGAGAUGCUCUUUGUUUAUGCAUAACUUCUGCAUCCAGUAAAACUUGUUUGGGAGUGCAAUUGCUUUUCUAGGAGCAUUUGCUUUGAGUUUAAAAUGUCUUUUUAAAGUUUUUGCUUACAAUUCCUUUGCAAUUCAAUUAGUUGUUGUUUUCUAUAAAAAUUUCCUUUGAAGCCUAAUUUUGUUGCUUUUGGAUUUGAGAGGUACUUUACAAAAAAUAACCACACUCCCAGACUGGCAACUGGUGACUAACAAUUAGAUGUUGUUUAUGGUGCACUACUGGUGACUAACAAUUAGAUGUUGUUUAUGGUGCACUACGACCCACAGCAUUUAAUGACCUUUCUCAAGUUUUUAAUCUUGCUUAAUUUACUUUUGCAAUUUAUAGAAGUUUCGUAUAUUUAUUUCCUGAAUUUUGGCGAUCACUAAUAUACACAGGUAUGGGACACCAGACAACGGUCUUGCUGCAAUUCUUUUGAGGCUCAUGAAGAAUAUAUUUCAGAUAUGACAUUUGCCUCUGAUUCUAUGAAACUCUUAGCGACAAGGUACAAAGUGAAAUUGGCUUAUUGAUCUUUUAGGAAAUUGAUUUAGAUUCAUGGACUAGCUGAGUGAUUUUAAAUCAAAGUCGUAGUAGUAUGGGCUGUUCUAAAAUUAACUUUGACUACCACCUGUAAUGUUGGUACUGUCAAACGGGAACACUUGCAUCCUUACAUGUUAUUAUAGUAUCACAUAUGUGUCUAUUUCUUAAUUCUUCACGAGGAUUUAAAGGAAAGUUAUUUGUCAGAAAUUGUUUUGUUUCAACUUUAUCCUAGAAUGAUACCUAAAUUUCUAUUUUCUCCCCUGUUUUUAUGGCGUUGUUACCUUUUUCUUCAUUUGUAAUGCAGUGGUGAUGGAACUUUAUCAGUUUGCAAUCUCCGAAGCAACAAGGUAGUUUUUUUGGCUGUUGGUUUUGCUCGAUUGUUUUUAAUGCUUAUGGUAUGCUAAAAACUGACAUCAGUUGUCUUCUGCAUUGUAGAUUCAAACUCAAUCAGAGUUUUCUGAAGACGAAUUGCUGUCUGUGGUGAUUAUGAAGGUAGAGCUUGUCUUGUUGACAAGAUUUCUGACUUUUUUUAUUGGGUUGAAAGCCCCAUCUCUGUGUUUCAGUACUGACAUGCUUGUCACCAUUAGGGAAUCAGAAUUAUCUAUCUCACUAGUUUUUCUUUCGCAACAGAACCUGAGCGCAUUUUUAUUUGUAAAUGUGUAUGACCUUGUAACCAUGCUAUUGCAGACUGUACUCUUAUUUAAGAAAUGUGCCUCCAGAUUGCUGCUAUUUCAAUGAAAUUUGAGGGCUAUGGUUGCCUCUAGGCUCUGUUGCUUGUGCUUUGCUUUGCAAGUUUACAUUUAGUCUCCUUUAUAGUUAUUGAAUCUUUCAAAACUAAGACUGAACUGAACGUGGUCUGGUGACAAGCCUGCAGAAAACGGAUAUGCUUGAUGCAAUUCUGCCUAUGACAUAAAUGUCUUAAAGAAACUUGUUUUCUAUCAGAAUGGUCGAAAAGUUAUAUGUGGGACACAGACUGGAACUCUAUUGCUGUAUUCGUGGGGAUUCUUCAAGGAUUGCAGGUAUUACAUGCUUAAUAAUUCUUAUGUUGGACUGGCCAGCAUACUUGAUUUUGUCCAAAACUAACACAUAUAACUAAAAUCCUCAUUUCUCUCUUUCCCUUUAUUGGUUAUAAAUGCUGGUGUAUAAUGCUAAUUGUUCUGUGAUUCUAACAUUCCCAGUGACCGGUUUGUUGAUCUGUCUCCAAAUUCUGUUGAUGCCUUGUUAAAGGUGCGUGCCUGUGUGUUUUAAGUGUUCACUUUUAGCAGACCUUAGCUGUAUUAUCCUGCUUGAAGCUUACAAGAUUUCUUCUUUCCCAUCCAAUUAUUAUGUCUCAUAGCUUGAUGAAGAUAGGGUAAUAACUGGAUCCGAGAAUGGACUUAUCAGGUGAGAUUAUACUUUUGUAGUGUUCUGAUGAUUCUAUACUGCUUGUCAAAUCUAUCAUUUAUUGAAUAAAAUUCUUUUAUGUGUGUUCAGCCUGGUUGGAAUAUUGCCAAACAGAAUAAUUCAGCCAAUUGCAGAGCAUUCAGAAUAUCCUAUUGAGCGUCUUGGUAUGACUACAGUGAUUUCCUUUUCCUUGAAUUAUUAUUGGAAUUCUGGAGAACUGAUUGAAUUGCUCACGUAUACAGUCAUGCAAACUGAUAGAGAAUUACGUCUCUUAUUGAGCAGCUGUUCUGAGUAAAAGUUCUUUUGCUCUUGUAUAUUGCCUUUUUUGCAUAGUUGCUUUGUAUAUUUUGCUUGAAGCUAAAUCAUUAGCCCUAUAUGUACUGAUUGUCGAACCUUUCUUUUUUUUUUGGGGGCAGCUUUUUCUUAUGAUAGAAAGUUUCUUGGCAGUAUAUCACAUGAUCAGCUAUUAAAGGUGCUUGCAUUUCCCCUCUCUCUCUCUCUUUCUCGUGUGGAUCGAUUUUUUUUACUUUCUGUACUUCCCAAACUAUGUAGUAAACUUAAUUUGACUUUUGGAACAAAAAUAAGUUCUGACAUGCCAUCUCUGUUCCCAUGUCUGUGCCCUUGUAGCUGUGGGAUCUGGAUGAUUUACUGCAAGGUUCUGGAAAUUCCAAGACUCAGUCAGCUGUUGCAGACAGUGAUGGUGACGAGAUGGAUGUGGAUGAUGCAAUGGCAAAAUCUUCCAAGGGUGUGUAAAAUCUGCUUCCUAUAGCAGACAUCUCUGAUUCUUGCAUUUUAUUCUGAAAUUUCAGUUCUAUAAUUUAGAUUUUGGGGAUACAUCUCAAGCUUUUGCUCAUAGCAUUCAACUAGUUUUAUCACAGUGAGAUUGAUUCAUGCAUAUUUCCUGUGUCUGCUAUUACUUUUUACAUAUCAUGAUUAUAUAUGUUUCACAAUAUUUGGCUGGAUGACUGAGAAUUUUAUUUUUCAUCUGACCACAUCAUGUAUGCUGUGCAGGCACCAAGAUGAAAAACACAAGUAAAGGACAAGACUUUAGCAACACGAGCAACUUUUUUGCUGAUUUGUGAUGGACUGAAUUGUUCAGUAGCUUCAUCAAUUUGUACAUCUCGGAUAUGAAAAUGUUGAUGUUGAUGUGAGGAAAUUAUAUAGCUGCAAAGCAUAGCUGCUGGUUGCAGAAUCAAAAGUACGUUUUUACCUAAGCAUGUUCCUUCUAGAAUAUACCCCAUUUUGGUGACCUGCUGCUUGAGGGCAAGAAAGGAAAAGCCACCAUGCAGAUUUCAGACCCUCAGUUUCCCUGUGCUUGGUCCUUGGAGGGAGAAAUGUUACUCUAUGCUCUCAACUUCCAUUUGUAUGUUGAAGAGUUUUAUGCUAGAAGAUUUGUGGGUUAGAUCAUAGCAGAUGAACAUUUGGAUAUCUUCCAUCUUUCAAACAUGUAGUUGCAUAUUCUCUUUAUUUUGUGGGUUGGUUCCUGUGUGGUGGUUGCGAUUCAAAAGUAAGCAGAAAGCAAAAUGCUGCUUGCUUUUGUUCUUCCCAUUAUAAAUCCAGUUAAAAAAGAGAACACCUUUCAGUCUAUAGCGAUGCAUUCUGAAAUUUUAUAAACGGAUGGACUGGGUGGUGGAUUUGCGGAUUUAUAUUGGUCGUGUAUGUUCACUGUUCGCUCCACAUUUGGGCUUCGACUGUUAUUGAGAAUUGAGAUAGCUUUGAUCACAAUUUUCAUGUUCUCUCUGACCACGCCCCUUCCCCCCCCCCCACCCCUCCCCUCUCGUCCUCCUCCUCUCCCCCAAAAAAACCCCGAAAAAAAAAAAUACUUCUUCCAUUUCCUUCUGCUUAUGGUAGGUUAAUUGUACUACAUGUAAAUCGCCUAUUAUUAGAUUAGAUCGCCUCUAGUAAGUAGUAACAUCUGAUUAGAAAGUGCAUUAUAAUCAGUAUACCUAGUUAUAAAUUUGCGGAAGGGAAUCAAAUCAGACGAGGGACUUGCUAACAUGAUGUUGGCAGUUCAAUCUUCACUCUUUUUUUUUUUUUUUUUAAUUGCAAGUCAGACAUUGUACGUAUAUAAUGCUGUUCAGUAUUCAGCAAGUGUACAAAUUAUUAAAUCGCAAAAGAUGCUUUUUUUUUUAAUUGCAAGUCAGACAUUGUACGUAUAUAAUGCUGUUCAGUAUUCAGCAAGUGUACAAAUUAUUAAAUCGCAAAAGAUGCUUUUUUUUUUUUUUUUUCUCAAAAGAAAGCUAAACAAAUGAAGUUAAUGCCUCUCGCUGAUCCCAAACGUCCCAAAAUGCAGGUCCUGCAUGACUGUUGCCCAUAUUCUGGGAAAUAGUCAUGCAACUGGAAGCACACUAAUAUAGGGCUCACAUAAUUCCAUAUUAAGGUAAUCAAUUAAAUCACGCCCUAGAGCAAGAAUACCAAACAAAAUUGAAGAAUAAAAGACAGUUCCGUCUGUUUUUUUGAAGAAUAUAAGAUGGAAACAAAUAGCUGCAGUAUGCGUAUAUUUUCUACUCGUAUAAAAUCAAAACAUCAGCAAAGCAUGCACAGAGAUAGAAUGAUCAUUGGUCAGCCAGAAAUCAGAAAUUUGACUUCCUGAAAAAACUCAGGGAUCCGUAUGGGGGGGGGGGGGGGGGGGAGGAACACCCAAUCAAUAAUGAUUCCACAACUUUUCCCUUGUGCACCCAGAAGCGGCCAAAAUUUUCUCGUAUCUCUCGAAUGCUCUGAGCAAGGCUGAUUAUAUUGAACAGAUUGAAUAACCACCUCCAGACCCAUUUCAACCUAAUCCAUUGAGGACUUCCAAACUAGGAGUACAUGAAUCUAUCAAACUGCAACAGACCCUAAUCUUGUAUCUGUUGUAUCACUCAGCCUAAACUGAGGCUUAGAUGGGAAAACAAAAACAAAAGAUGAAGCAAUUGAGGGCUGAAAGCCAGCACUAUAUCUGACGGAGGUUACAGAAACUCGAGGUAGCUGUUGUGAACCCGAGGCCAGAGGAACAAGCUUGAAACUCAGUAUAUGCUCGGAUUUGGGAAGAACAAAAAUUGUGUCAUUAUGAGACCCAGACAACACAAAACUUUGUGAAUCUGUAAGUGAGUAUUUAAUCUCUUGGAGCAGUUGGGUUCGAUUAUGAAUUCUAAUGGGAAAUGUAAAAGGGUCUCCAAGAAUGGCAUGUGCAGGACACUCUAAACUCACAAUUAUUGGGGGUUGCUCCACAUAUACAUCCGGAAGCCUCUGUUUUGUCAAAACUUCUGUAGUGCAAGAACCAGAUUGUUCUUUGUCGCCAGAAUCUCUCCUCCAUCUCAAACACACUGUUCCAAUCUUCAAUUUUGCAGGAUUUACCUCAGGAAUGACAGAAAAGAUUUUCUUGAACUCCUCACCUGGCACUAUAGGGGCAGGUUCCAUGGGGUCCUCAGUCUUUUGUCCUACAGUGCAACUGCCAUCAGUCUCUGACUCUAUAGACAUUGAUAGCAACCGCAAUGGGACUUCCGAACAGUUCUUUGCACUAACAAGAAGUAUGCUUUUUUCCUUCAAAGGCAGUAUUGGUGUCAGAUCAAAAUCCCCAGUUGCUUUAAUCAUAGAUGGCAAAAGAGGGUCCUGCCUAAAAGGCAACAUAUACCUAUGGUUGAUUAUCAGGGCAGUCUUCCCUUCAAUCUCCAAGUUUUUGUGCACAUGAACUUUUUGUGAGCUAGUUUCACUGCUACAAGGAUUGUAACCCAAUGACACAUACAGCAUAACAGGUUUGGGGCGAUUCCAUCUAAUUUCCAGCUUGCAGGACCAUGACUUGCCUUCACUGAGAACUGGUACAGAAAUCAAUCCAAAAGAAGGUUGAAUUUUACGAAUAUUGUCAGAACCAGCAUCGGAUUGGUCCUCACACUCUUGGCCUGAAACUCCUACAAGCUCCACAUGAAGAUUAUCUGUUGAAAAUGGUUCCACAUCCCUGGGACUAAGCAAGCCUCCCCCUUUUGUAUCCACCAGGUUAAUCUUCAACUCACCAGAAUGGACUGAAUGGCCCUUUGAGGUAACAGUCACAGGUACAACAAAGUUCUCCCCAACUAAUGCAGGGCCAGAAGAACUUAAUUUCAGAUCGACUUGUGGAUCUGGUUCUUCAACCUGGAUGGCUUUCUGACCAGAGGAUGCCAAAGCAGGAUCUUUGAUUGGUACAGUUUCUAGACGGUUUUCAAAUUUCCAAAGAGGCAAGUCAUUCAUUGAAGCAGGACUCUCUGCUCUGCAACAGAUGGUGAAGUGUGGUCCUAUUCUCGCAAUAACAUACAUGCACUCAAGCUUACCACUUUGCUCUGCAUCCAUUCGCAAGAUAUCUUACUUUCCAGUGGCAGUAAAUAAAUUAAAAAAACAGUUGAUAUAAUGAAGGGUCCCAAAUUAAAGUCAAGCAAAGCAAACGAAGAAACCUAAUAUUGGAAGUAACAACGUAGAGAAAGAGAGUAGACAAAUACACAAGUAGGGGUCUGAACCAAUAGAUCUCCUUUUCAUAUUUUAACUUUUGUUUUUUCCCUUCGCAUCUUUGGGUUAAUGAAGCUUAUUCUGGACAAUAGACAAGUGUGAAACUGCAGUUCGACAAGCCAGAAGAGCUCUUUCUACAGAUGAGUGGAUAAACAACGAAGACUUCUCUGUCAAAAGCAGCAGCCAUAACUAACUUGCACACCAAGUUAAGAGAACAGAAUGACCAAGGAAGCCAAUAAACAGCUACCAGGGAAUUGUAGCAGGACUUGUGGAAACAAAAGAGAAAUCUUGGAGAAAGGAUGGUGGCCUUUGUGGGGAGAAAGGGUGGUUGGGAGGGGCUGUUUUGAAGUUAUUGCACAUACCGUAAGUGUAUAACAAGUAACAGCUAAAAUUUUGUGAUGGAAAGAAACAAUUUUGACCUUGAAACUGCAGUUUCACACUUGUCUAUUAUUCAGAAUAAUUCAUUAAUCCAAAGAUGCAGCCGUAACUGGCUGGCACACCAAGUUAAAAGGACAGAAUGACCAAUUGAAGCCAAUGAACAGCUAGUAGGGAAUUGUAGCAGGACUUAUGGAACCAAAAGAGAAAUCUUGGAGAAAGGAUGGCGGCCUUUGUGGCGAGAAAGGGUGGUGGGGAGGGGCCAUUUUGAAGUUAUUGCACCUACCAUAAGUGUACAACAACAGAAAUUUUUUUAUGGAAAGAAACAAUUUAACUGGAUCAGACAGGAUAUGAAGUACUACUACAAACAACAAAGAAAUAUCAUAUUUCAUCACUCAGUUUUAAGUAAGGAUGAAAUAUGAUCUAACUAAAUUGAACUUUUGGUAUGAAUAAUAUAAUUACAAUCAACUUAGAUAUGUAAUGGACUCAAAUGCAAUAAUAUUAUCAUGUAGCAGUAACAAUGGUUUUUAAAUAACAUAUCCAUUUUUCAGGGUAAAAGAGAAAUAAUAUUCUCGAUGUGUUUAUAUGGUACCAUGAACCCAAAAUUCAUGAACUGCAGUGUGACACUGACUGUAAGCAAUGAAGGUACAUUAAUCAACUUUAUCUAAUUAAGAUAUAUUCUCUAAAUCACAUACCUGCAUCAAACCAAUACAAAUCAAAUAUAACUAUAUCUACCUUAUCAAUCAACCCAAUUGAUUUGAGCCGUCAAAGGCACAAUAAAAAUUAGGCCAACAAACAAUUGCAAGAUGAGAUGACAACCAAGUUCACAACAUUUAAAUGACAACCUAGAUCAAAUAGUUUACAAAAGCCACAAAGUCUAAUCUAUAACGUUUUGCCUAAAAACUAAGUACUCUAAUAGAAAAACCCAAAAAGGUGUUGGAUUAUAUUCAUCUUUCACAUUUCCUUUUUCCAUGGGAGCUAAUGGGGCAACUGAUUCACUUUUACUUGUUCAUCCGAUAAAAACAGAGCUGAAAAAACUAGCUUACCAGAUUUUAUGUCAUAUGUCAGCCGCAACCAUUUGUUGGUAGCAAUUUCCAGGGCAGGAGCCAUCUCCACUCUGCGACCAGGCUGUACAUUGGAGAUUGCAGCUAACUGGGGCCUCUGGCCAUUUAUAAUAAUGAAAUUACAUUCGGUUUGGUUAAAUUGGAUCUCUAACUGAUCAAUUUCAAACUUCAGAGGCAACCGUGUCAGAAGUGAAACUGUGAGCAUGGUCGAUCUACCAGGCUUAAUUAUUUGCUCAUGAAAAGCAACUGAUGCAAGAAGUGCCACUCUUAGGGGGCUCACAAGAUCAAUCUCAAGAUAAAGAGGAUGACAAUCAGUUACUUUAAGAUGGUUAUUCUCUUCAUUCAAUGCAAUUUCUGAUUCUCCUCUGAUAACUCCAAAUACUUCCUUGUGUAUCAUUUCUCUCUGGAGAAGGCUUGGAGGCCCAGCUGGGCCACAGUCCUUAAAGAACUGGGCAUCCUCAGUAUUUGAAACUGGCAGUGCAGCCAUUUCAAGUGAUUGCUCCACGAAAUCUUUCACGGAACCAGUUUUCCUUGAGCAUUCUCGAAGGUAGCCUAAACCCUCCCACAACAAAGCUACCCAACCCUCCUGUCGAUAAAGAUUUGCAACAUUGUCCAAAAUCUGUUUUGCAUCAGCAAAUUCAUUUAUUGAGAAAUAUUCCCGUGCCAUCUGGACCCCACAAUAGGAGGCCAUCCGCAAGGUCUUAUUCUUGUUAUAUGCUUCAAAACAUCUUUUCAGAAGAGCUAUUAUUUCAAAGGAAUCUUGGAACCUUUUCCCCUCAGCAAGAGAGUAGCGGAUGAACUCUUCAUCAGUAAGACUGCUAAACACACAAGAUACCAUAUUAUAUAUACAGGAAGCUUUGGUGGGGGAAUUCAAAGGUAGUCGAGCGAGGGACAGAGAAAGAGAGAGAGAGAGAAGAAAAAGCAAAAGAUAAACUCACGGUUGCAUUGUAAAUGCCUCCCCACCAUGCUCAAGUACUCUUGCAAACUGACCAACAUAAACAGAAUCAAUCACAGAUUCGUUACUUCCAUUCUUCUCAUCAGCAAUUUCUGACAUUGAUAAUGCAAGUUCCAAGCACGAACUCUUCUGUUUCAAAUAUUGAGCUGCUGACUGUUUCAGGGUAGAUAGUAAGAUAUAAUUAAGAUAAAGAAAUGUGGAAGUCCAACUACAAAACUGAUUUAAUGCUUAAAAAGAAUCAGGCAAUUAAAAAGGAAAAGAAGCAGGCCACAUAUUUGGUCUAACCCUAUUCUUCUGUGCAGACACUAAUUUAGCUAGCCAUUUCCAAUAAUCUGAGAAUGAUCUGGCUAUAGCUAAUUCUGAGGUUCAGUAGCUAGGACUUUGAAUCGGCAAGAGCCAAGUAUCACCCCCCCCCUCCCUUUUCUUUUUUCCCAAGGAAAAAUUUCCCAAAAACACCUUUCAAUAGUCUUGAAAGGAUUGAGGCAUGUAGAGGUAAUAGAGAUGUCAAUUUGCUAUUUCCUGUUAUUAGGACAAAGAAGAGUGAAGAGUUCUCCCAGAUGACAUAUGAUAGUGAUGUUCACAUCUCUAUUUAGCAUUCUUACAUUCAGUGCAUUUAAUUAAAUAUCUAUGACAGAGAUAUAAAGGGAUUGAGAAGCCAACUUUGGUUUUUUCUUGUAUGCAAAUACUUUCCUCCCUUGUAAUAAAUUCUUUUUUUCCAGCUAGAGAAUAUAAUGAACACUAAGACAAAUGCAAGAUACAACACUUUUUGAAUCAAAUUAUCCUACUAUGAGUUUAGGGCCCAUUUUAAUUGAAGUUGCAUAGAAAGGAUAUCCACAAACCUGGUAAUAAUAAGCUGGAUAGAAUUCCCAUUCAGUCAAUUUAUCUGCAGUUCCUGAAGUUGGAGAUGAAAUGUUUUGGACAGCAGCAGAGCUGCUCUCUAAAAGUUCAGCAAACACCAAAUAUUGCCUGCUUAACCACUCCCAAUGAAGAAAAUUAGCAUCUGGUGCUCCCACAAGCCUCCUAUAAGUAUCAGUGUGGCGGCGGAACCAUAUAAUUGCUUCUGCUAAUUUUCCACUAUGCAUGAGCAAAGUUGAAAUUUUAAAAUUCAACUGCUCUGCCACAGUCUUGAUUUCAACUAAGCGUAAAAUUGGAGACAAUCUUGUAGAAGCCCCAACCAUCUGCAAACAAGCACAGAAAUAACAGAAUUAUGAUUCCUAACAGCAUAUUCUAUAUGUUUUCUACACACACGCCAACAUCUAUGUCAAGAGAAGCUGAUAAAGACAUAAUAUGAACCAAUUGAACUCGUCUUGUGGUAAAAAACAACAGCUGUUUACCAAAAGGAAGCAGGCUUCCUCUCCAUAAGCGUCAAUAUGACCUAUUAAUGUGCACAAUACCAUCCAGCUUGGAAAGGUGAAUAAAUCAAUAUUCUCUUCUACUUGCAUUGUAAUGAACCUAAACUAGCCUACAUAGCUGCAAUCAAAGUGCAGAAAUUUAAACUCAUUCUCAAGUAUUUUGAGAUCUGCUAAAUACAUCUUUUAAGUAAUUGAUUUUGAGGCUGCAAAUACACUUAGAUUCCAUAAAGCUAGAUGGCAUGUGUUAAAGUAGUAAAUUUCUGCAUAGUUGGGAGGGCUUGGAGGAGAUUUAUGAGUAAUUUCCACAGACAUUAAAAUGAGUACUUUUAACAUAAAAAGGAGGACCCAUAUUAGCUCACCAUUUAACUACCGUAAGAACUCCCAGGGUGAAAAUUUCUUUUUCCUGUAAGCUUGCCUUUGCCAUGGAUAACUGGGUAUUAUAGUCUAAGUUGCAAUUGCUUUCUAAUGGCAACAAUAUCAUUUAGUGCAUAAAAAAAAACUGUAUCCUACUAUUCACCAUGGCAUAUAAAGCAGAAGACAGUUGCCUAACCAAGGUUAUCAUGAGCUAAUAAUAACUUUAUGAGACUAAUUAGAUUGUUAUCUUAUGAAAGAAAAUUAUACCUCUCGCACUGAAUGGUAGGCUUCAUCAUAUAGCCUCAAAGCUUCAGCCCAAUCUCUACGAAAUUCUGCAUAUACCCCAACCUAGCAAUACAGAAGUUCAGGCAAAUAAUCAGACAAGGAAGAAAUAUGAAGCACAAGAGAGGAAAGAUGGCAAGAUACUGAGUUCAGCCCUUCAUGUUCUGAUCAAGUGUUAGCUCUUUUGAUGCAUUAAUUUAGGAACAUAUUUAAUCAACAUAAAAAGUUAGCCUGCAUUGAAUACCAUUUGAGUAUGCAGGGAUAAAGUUUCAUCCUAUAUCAACCGAGGAAAGGACCUCUACACAAAAACAACUAAACCCCGAUCUGAAAGUGAAGAAAUACUCUACUGAUGAAUCAUGAUCAAUACUUCCAGACAAAUCCUGAAUCUUGCGGAUGACAAAUUAAAUUUCUAAUUUUGUCAGCCUACUUUAAAGGCUCACAAUUGCUUUUGUAGCUUGACUUGCAUCUAGUUGCAAUGCAAAAAUUUUACACUAUCGUAAUAAUGGUUCUGUUGCUUCAGGCAUAAUAGUAUGCUCCAUGUUGAUUUCAAUAGAACGUAAAAACUCCAAUAUCCUUGCAUUGGCAAAGUAAACAAGUAAACUACUAGAACGAAUUUUAAAACAUGGAAUGUAAAGGGAAUAUUAUUUCACCAGUAAUGCUUAGACAGCAGCUUAUUUACCACAGUAGGAUAAAUUUGAUUGCAGGAAGUUUCAGAAGACAUGAUUCUACCUUGAAGAACAGGAUUUAUUAUUACAUUUUCCUCAUACUCAUUUUAGGCAGAUGUUAGUUCACAAACUCAUCGAAUGGAAAAUUGAACAGCAAAAAGAAUCCUCUGCCAUAUGUAGCACCAGGAAAAUAAAAACUAUAUCAGAUUGGAUCCUAAGCAUUGCAUUGUGCUAGUUGUAGGUAAUUUGACUUUCAAAAUGUUAGGUAUCCGUGAAUAUAGUUAUUUUGUCCAAAAACAUGGCUUUAAACAAGAAAUAUAAAACAAAUAUGAAAAGCACAGAGAAAAAAUGAGCCAUGAUAGACUAAAAAUUACUAACUUUAAAACAGUAGCGGAUGUGCAACUCUAUGGAGAUCGAGCUCUUCCUAUCAAUACGUGUUUUAACUCGCCGCCCUUCCUCUCUGUAAUAUGUAUUUGCCAGUUCCCCCAAUGUGCUCCGGAGUCUGCAAUUGAAUUCUUGUUAAGGAACCAAUAUACAACACAAGCUAUAUUGAAAGACCAUCAUCCUACUAUUAUCGAUGAAAUGGCGUGCCUGGUUAGGGAUUGUUUAAGCUCCCCUGGAUCAUCAGGAACAAAGGUAAUUAUGUACUUUGAAUCUACUUCAGCCCUCUUCCUAAGAGCAAUCAUUCGAUCUUCGCUAAUCUCAUCUGCAUUAAAUCAUUACAAACAAAUCAAAGAAUUCAACAACUCCCCAGCAUCCAAUUUUACGCCAAUAAAGUCACGAUGUAUACCCAAUCUCAAAACGUGAAAAUUACAUUUAUGCACGUCAUGAAAAACUCACCUCUAGAGCUUGACUGGGUUACCACCACCACGAUAAGUUUGAUGUUCCUUCCUUUAGUCACUCCCCUGCCCAUUUCCGAAUUAUCAAAACAUAAGCAAUUCAUCUGGACCAUAAAUUUAGUUACCCAUAAUCUACAGAAAUAUAUAAAUCAAGUCCAUUGAAAGACACUGUCGGGUAGUAAACAUAGUUAUGAUGUAAAAAAGGACCAUACUUGAGGUUUUCGAGGUCGGUGCAGACCUGAAGCCACUGAGCAGGGUCACCGGAAAUGUGGUCGGAGCUGAAGAGAGCGGCAACAACAGCGGGAAUUUUAGUCCGGUGCUUGGAAAGCCAGUCUCUUUUCAAAAUACCAUCGACCGGCCGUCCCGGACCGGCGUUUUCUUUGGGAGUUCUCGCGAACAAUGUGAUUUUGGAGAAAUCGGGCAAUGCCAGGGCGUUGAUUGGUGGCUGUUCGGCGUGGAGGUGAGAAGUGAUCCGCGAGUGAAGCUCCGGGCAUCCGACCAAAGCUGCUAGAGCUACCGGCGGAGUGCGGAGUUCUCCUGGGUACUCCUCCAUUGCUUUAAUUGGUUUAUUUACAAGAAAAUUAAUAUUUUUUCUCGGUAGGGGUGAAGUGAGGGGAUUAUGUUGGAAUGGGAAGACGGAGAGUUUUGCGGCGGAGAUCGGAGGUUUUGGGUGGGACUCAGGCGAGGCGAGUUGACUCGGGCGGGAGUUAACUAAGUAGCGAGUAGCGAGUAGUUAUGCUUUGGACUUUUGGAUGGAGACCUUUAGAUUAGCCCACCUUCAUAGUUCAUUUCCUCUAUUGUAAUAUAUAUGUAUACAUACAUAAAAUACAAGAGCCCGCCCGAGAAAAGAAAGAAAACAAAAAAUUUUUGCACUGAUGGGGUCAACUCCCUGGAAAAGUAAAAUUAUAUAGUUCUUCGAUUAAUCAUUGCUUAAAAGCCACCACCUAAGUGGGUGGGGUGCGAGACAAGGAUUCAAAUCUUGCUUCUCACCAAAAAAUAUCACAUUUAAGUAAUUUAUUUCUAAAAAAUUCAGACGAAUGUGCUGUACACCCGUCUAAUUCAAUUCGGUGGUAAUUCAGUCCCUCUGGAUUAUUCUUGGACCUCUUUAGAUCCAUCCAUUCCCUCUUAGUGUAGGAUAGAAUAGAUUUAUCAUUUUUCAAAAAAAAAAAAAAGAUUAAUCAUUGCUUGGCUGAUCCUUUUGGACGCAAACGAUGCCGUUAACUUUUUUUUAUUUUAUUGGGGGUAGUUCAAUCAAUACCCACAAUUGUGGUGAGUUGGAAUUCCCAAAAUUGAAGAGAAAGAAAGAAAAAAAAAGAGAACAACAGAUGGAAUUUGGCCCGAUUAUUUGUUGAAUGUAUAUUCUAGCUGAACAAGAUAAAGACAUAGCCAAGCUUGCAAGAUGGAGCGAUUCGGUCGCAUUAGGGUCCAGGAAUGUGUUCAAUAAAGGUAGAAAAUAGUACAUGAUCAUUUUUUGUAUAUGAAUGCAAUAUCCAGUUACAUAUUUAUACUAAGAGAGUACCAGCAAAAUUAGACAAGAAGAAAUUCAAAGACGUCCUGAAACGCAAUACAGUACUCGAAAGGUAAAUCCCCUUUGUUUAUAUUGGCCUAUGUUCCCAGAAAGAGCACUCGAGAAAAGAAAAGGAGCUAAAACUCAGCUAAGAAGUAAGAACCUAGAGACCUGACCUGACCUGACCUACCUACAGAAUCAUAUCUUGAUCCAAUAGAAUGUGAUUGCAAGAAACCCGCAUCCUGCAACCUGUUACUCUAAAUUUAAAAUCUGAACAGUGUCAAAGGACUUGUUUGUGCAGAGUUUUACACUGACUGCGACCAACACGAGCUCUGGAUCCUCGUUAAAUCAGUCAUCGUCUCAUCCAGUUAUGACAAUAAGAGGAUGGAGCUGUAACAGUACAACCCCGCCGAGAGAUGGCUAAAAAUUGUUGCAGUGACCACCUUGCCACAGCAAGCUUGAAUAUGCACUUUGGACUCAUCAGACUCGAUAGUGAGAGAUGCAAUAGGAGCUACCCCUCCUAAGUCAGUUAAAUGUAGCAAAAACAGAAGGAAACAGAAUGGAAAGUUCAAAAAGUUUGCCCCUUAAGAACUGCCCUUUGCACAUGCUGACAGAAGAGCAAUCCACGCCCUUCGUCUGAUCCGGGUAUCGGAGCAGCUUCUUUUUUCUUUCCUUUUUUUUUUUGGUUAUAAGGUAUCAGAGCAGUCUCAUAUUAUACAGGAUGAUCCGAUGUACCCUUGGUGAUCAUGACUUCAGAAGACCUGCAAGAAACAUACCAAGUUCAGUUGUUGAAAUUCACAUGAUUCUGUUUCACGACUGAAAAAGUAAUCCAGGUCAUAAGUCCCACAUAAAUGGUUUAAUAUCGGGGUUAAUAAACUUGGAAGACUAACACACAGCCCUCAAAUUUUAGUCUAGGGCCAAGACAUAAUGAACAAUAUCACAAGGAUGGCAGAUAUAUAACUAUUUGGUCCCAAUUCCGAGACAUAACAUUGCAGCCCCUCUUUAGCACAUUAGGACCUGCCCAAUCAUUGAACCCGUGACAAAAGCUCUGCCUAAAUUAGGCGGCCUCUAAUUUGAACCAACUGGAGGUCGCCUGCUGAGAACUACAAGCAGUACCAUCCUAAUAGCCAUUCAGAUUAAAGAAAUGAGAAGUUUAUGAGUCAGUUUAAGCGCACGAGUCCAGAUAUUAUUUACUGGAAAACAAAAAGAAAAUAAUGUUGAAGUUGGUAUAGCAGUUAAAGAUCUCUAUCAGGUGUCAUGAAUCCUUAUGGUCAAACUAACAUGAAUUUGACUGACCAUGUGAUUCUUGAAAAAUGAAACUAUCAGGAAGUAAAGGACUAAGCAUUUAUAAUUUUGUCGAAAGCCACUUUACACAAUCUGUUAAUAUUGAUCAUUGAACUCAACCAAAAUAUAAGCACAGUAUAGACCUCUCAGCACAUUGCCUUGGUGAUAGCCUGUCGUUUGUAGGAUUUAAUACUGCAAAAAGUACCUAAGCAAAAUAAACCUACAGAAUGAAGACCAUAUGGAACAGAUUUGGAAAAGACCAGAAAACCAAGUAGAUCCGAAGUAGCACAGUUAUUUAAAGAAAGUAAUUGUUUACAACAACAAUUGCUAACUGUCUAUUCGCAUGUUGGUUUCAAACUCUUCAGAACUCAAUUUCUCAGAAUUCAAGCUGCAAUAGAACCAGUACCUCUUGAAUGCAGGGAAGUUAACUUGCAAGGUCAGAUUUGAAGCCUGCUACCUGGGUACCUUAGUCCUCCAUGUCAAGAAUUACCUGCAUACCACUGUGGUAUUUAGGAGACAGAAGAAAAAGAUAAGAAAUGAAAUGAAAAAUUAGAUGGAUGUCUUAUGACAAGGUUAUCUUGUUUAUGUAUGAAAAAUUCUGAUAACAGGACUAUAAGAAAAAGGUCAAUGGUGAUAGUAUCUGUUUUCUUGCUCUACAGAAACGAAAACUAAAGAGUUGCCAGUUUCUUGAACCAAACAAAAUUUGUACUACCUCCAAAGCUCACACAAGUGGUAAAGUUAAUUUUCUUGGGGUCUCAACUGUCAACACCAGCUGGCAAAUAUACAGGCAACAAAUUCCAAACUUUAAGCAACUUUUAUCAUUUUUAGGCAGAGUAAGAAACUGGUUGGCCAAUUUCCCUCUUCUUUACCACCACCAUAGUACCACCUCGCUUGGCCCAAGCCCACUACUCUCCACCAAAACAAACAAAAAAAAAAUCUCAAACCUCUCUCUAGCCUAUCCAAGCUCUCCAGCCCUACUCACGCAGACAAACACAGUUAAUUCUUUGCAGAAAAUUCAUUUGUUUGCCUGUACAGAAUGUUUGUACAGGAGCAUAUACAAAUACUUGGAUACUAUGAUAAUUCAUUGUAUCCCUCACAUAUCAUGCCAUGAUAAGCACAAAAUGUUCUUUACUGAUCUGAUUUUGAAUUGCUGACCUUAGCAUAUUAUUAAAAUUCAGGUAAAAGAUUUUUAGUUGGCCGAUUGGUAUUGAUGCUCAUCAUUUAUAAGUUGAUGUUCUUUAGCAAAGAGAAAGCUUGAAGUGGCAGACCAUAAAGAAAAAUAGAGACUUUUAUCCAGUUUUUGGGGGGAGGGGGGGUGGGGGUGGACUUUAUUUAUAGCUUUUCCAUACUAAGAAAUCAAUUUUCCUUUCUAAUUUGCACAAGCUUCAAAAACCAAAGCUACUGGUAGUCCUGAAGGGGAUGGCAUCCUCUUAUAAUAGUUAGCAGAAAACAUGUCCAAAGCACAUUUUCUGUGACCCUCCACUUGAAAAAGACCUAAAAUUACAUAUGCUUGUUGAGAAACGUAGACCAAAAACACAAGACUUUAAUCAAUCGCCCUAAAAUAUAGAAACUAUUGAGCAAGUUUUUUUACUGACUUGACAUAUCAACCAACCAAAUAUUGAAUGACAGAGAUGAGUUUCACAACAUUUAAUAUGGAUCUCUGAGAACUAAGGAUGCUUGAGACAUGUAACUGCUAUAAGCCUUCACAAAAUUAUCUAUUAAAAACCUCAAAAAAAAAUUGACAGAGAUUCACAUAAAUCUGCUACAGGAUAAGAAGCACUUGCUUGAGACUAGCAUCUUAUUUCAAGCCAUCAUGCAGUACAACUGCAUAAUUAGUCAAUCUACUCACAUCCAGUUAAUUACCCAGUAAGGCUCAACAAUGAGGCACAAUCUAGAGGGGAGAACAAUUAUCUCUUUUGCAGAGACGUUCCCCAAAAGUACAAUAUCAGAACAAGAUGCCAUUUACAUAUGCCCAGAAGGUGAUCAACAAUAGGACAAAACUGAUUUAGGUGUCUGUGAUGCAUAUGCAUUGAAUCAUAAUUCAUAUACUGCUAGCAAAGAUUUGAGACCUAGAGCAUGUUAUUGAAUCCACCACAAAUCUGUUGAAUAAAGGUAGCAGCUAAGAUAUA
rnacentral:lncRNA from 1 species